rnacentral:lncRNA from 1 species
CUGAAAAGGGAAUCGAUCGUGAUUUGGAACCUGUUCUUUACAUGAACCCUCUUAACUAAGAUUUUCUUAUUUAUACCUGUUCUACUUUUUUUCUGUUCUGGCUCGGUUAUUCCAUCUAGCCGAGCCAUUCAUUCCUUUUUAUGAAAGAAAGAUAAGGGACAGAAAAAAAUGUAUUUUCCCAUCAACUAGCUAAAAUUGAUUAACCCUAGGAUUAGGAUCCUUUUUUCUUUUUUCCUCUAUGUGUAUUUUACUUUAGCGCAAGGGCGCUCGAUUAGUGAGCUAUUACGCACUCUUUAAAGGGUGGCUGCUUCUAGGCAAACCUCCUGGCUUUCUUUGCACCCCCACGGCCUUUAUCACUGAGCGGUCAUUUAGGGGCCUUAGCUGGUGAUCCGGGAUCGAUAAACCUUUUGGAUUUUAUUAACCAAAGAGAUACGACUUUGGGCUAUGGUUAGCUCAGCUCCAAUCAAGAAUAUUCUUACUAUUAUUGUAUUAUCUUAUUUAUAGUGAAACAAGUUGAGAAGAGGUUGUUAAUAAGAGAUUGCCCAGGGAAAUAGGUAAAAGAAAUUUCCAUCUUUGAUUCUCUAUAAACCAAGAAUAAAGGGAAAUCACUGAUUCAUUUGGAGCUGUUUUCUACCUGACUCAUUGACAUGAGAGAUUAGAUGCGAUGCGCCAGUCACUCGACCGUCAAUCCUUUCUUGUGACGAGCCAUGACUGGGUGCUCUGAAACCUCCUUAAAAGGAGGGGCGGUGGGGUAAGGUAAUUGUUGGGCAGUACACAGGAGGAAAUUGACAGGUCUAUAAAUUCUAUUAAAGGAAUGAGAAAGCUAAUGAAUCUUAAACCCAUUGAUAAAAAGAAAAAAAAGGGUACCAACGAUCUGGAAUCCCGUGCUGAAACCUACAGAUAUGCACCUAUGCGGACCAUCCUGGCAAUCCUCCUGUCUAUUCUUUCUAAUAACCAACGAAUGGCAAGUGCUCUUCCUUGUUUAGAUCCUAUUUCAAUCGGAACUUUCCGCGUCGAUCCUUUUUAUUUUAUCUUGUUUCUUACCUAAAUUUAUUAGUUUCUUCUUUAUUUGUAACAGUUCUCUACUUGGGCGGGUGGAAUUUAUCUAUUCCCUAUAUAUCCUUUUUUGUCUGAAAUCUUUAAGCAACUAAAAAAGACGUAUACUAAAAGAUAUGUGUUGAAAAGGGAUGGUCAAUAACAAGAUGAACCCAAUGCCCAAUCUUCCUCGGGUUCCACGGGGUAAAUCCAUUAAAAAGGACAAAUUUUAGCAGAAGGAGCUGCUACAGUUGGGGGCGAACUUGCUUUAGGAAAAAACGCCCUAAAUAAACGCGGACACUUAAAAAAUCUGUCGGGCAGGCAGAUUCACAUCUCUUACAACCCACACAAUCUUCGGUUCUCGGCGCGGAAGCAAUUUGCUUGGCUUUACAUCCAUCCCAGGGUAUCAUUCCCUUUUAUGAUUGGAGAACCUGGCUUUGAUGACAUUCCUGAGGGAUCCGCAAAACCCCUCGCCAUUACCGUAUGAGCAGGUUUGAAAGCCUGCAAGUUAAGUUGUUGGCUGCUCUUAGCGAUUGACGGACGAAGCCGAGCCGAUAUGAUAGGCGGGCGAAGUGAGCGAGACCAAGACGGGCCAGACGUGGCUAAUUUUUUAAUUAAAUAAAAAAUCCCUUUUAACUUAGUGGUAGAGUAAUGCCAUGGUAAGGCAUAAGUCAUCGGUUCAAAUCUGAUAAAGGGCUUUCUAAUUGAUUGGAUAUCCCGCAUAAGGAAUCGAAGGAAGAUGCGACGUUUUAUUCCAGGGAAUCCCCAACAAAAAAUGCACAUUUGUAUCUGGAUUUUUUGAUUUCCUAAAAGAGUUUUGGUCUAACAGUUUUUUCUCGGAAGAAGAAAAAUAAACAAAAGAAUGAAUAAAAUAUGAAAGAAAAGCGUCCAUUGUCUAAUGAGUUCAUAACCCUAGCGCCCAUUCCCAUUUUGGGCGGAACAGAUCUACUAAUUCUUUUAUUCCAGUUAGAGCCGAAAUAGGAGUGGGUCCUUCCAUAGCAUCGGGUAACCAUACAUGAAGAGGGAAUUGUGCGGAUUUCGCAACUGCACCAAGGAAUAAUAAAAAAGCACACAAAGUAGUAAGUAAAAACCUUCAUGAAAUGAAGGUUUUAUUUUAUGUAAUCAUUUAGGUGUUAGUGUAAACGAACCAUAAUUACUAGCCAAUAUUUAUCUCAUGCCUUUCCUCGUUCAUGGUUCGAUAUUCUGGUGUCCUAGGCAUAGAGGAACCACACCAAUCCAUCCUGAACUUACAGCAGCUUGCCAAACAAAGGCUAAUAGAAAAAAGAAUAGAGGUAUAACAUGCUUUAUUCUUAAGUGGGGGAAUCCCCUGAAAGCCGGUGUUCGAGUGAGUUUUUUCCAGGAAGCUAGUUCUUUAGGGCUUAACCCCUUUUGUUAUUCUACCUGCACUCUUCCGUAAACUAAAACGUGCAUUAUCAAUAGGAUCAAUUCUAACAAGUCACACACUCAUAUUCCAGAGAUACCGAAACAAAAAAAUUCCGCGGUCGAACUACCAUAAUAUCUAGAAAUGUAGAUCUUAAACUAGAAAGGCUUUUUUGGAUGGAAAAACUCUGACUUCCUAGUUUUAGUUAGUAGAAACCUAAUUGGUUAAAAUUCCAUCCAGUAAAACGGAAGAAUUAUAAAUUUCUAAAAUACAUAGCUUUCUUUAGUCUUUCCGGUAUAGCGUCGCGUCGGUCGAUAUCGCAGAGUCUAAUUUCCUAACUCGGAUUUGAACUCAGUGGGUAAUUUCUAACAAAGUUUUUCUCUUGUUGAUUCCUAAUUCUAGGUGUAGUGCUUUUCUCCCCUAUGCUGCCUACGGAUACUAAAGAUCACCGCUUUUCAUACGCUAAUUCGUGAUUCAAAGUAGAGCGAGUGAGGGAGCUAUACCCGGGACUCAAUCAACAUAUGCCAGAAAUAGGAAAUUGGAAUGAAAUCCAGUCUUAGUCAAAUACUUCAUAUCUCUUUGUGUCCAAGCAGAAGGAAAAGGAUACAAUUUGAGCCCAAUCCCUUUGGUCAUUUCGCUUUUCGUGCCGGCCUGUAUUCAGAGUUUCUUGGAUUUGCGGUGCCUGAAUGCCUUUCUCCUUCUUUUUGGUGACGCUUCGCUUGCAUGCAAGGCGGCUAAUAAAAGCGCCAGGUAGACGCGCGGAGAUGCAUUUUGAGUACUGGUGGUACUGGACAAGCUCUAGGGGAAUAAUCUCUUUCUUAUUUCUUUCUUAUUCCUUUCAUUUGUUGCUUUGUCUUCGGUUUGUUUUUAAACUCGACCUUCUAUCGGGACUGUGGUGACGAACCUUACUCCCCUCGGUCAAGUGGUUGACCCGUCUGUCCAAUAAGUUUACUAAGUGAAUGGGAAUCCUAUAGUUUGACCAGCCUGGAUCUCUAUUCUCCAUAAGGAUAGGGUUUAUUUGAUUGGCAUUCACGCCUUUUAGAAAGAGCCACUCAAUGCAAUUCACUUUUAGGCGAAGAGAGUAGCAGGGACUAUGGUAUCGAAUUUUUUCAUUCGAGUAUCUAUUAGAAAUGAAUUCUCCAGCAUUUGAUUCCUUACUAACAAAGAACUUUUUGGUACACUUGAAAGGUACCCCAUAGCAUGACUAAUUGAUAAAAUGUGGAGGAAAGUAGGGGAAAUGGCCGAUACUACUGGAAGAAUUCCUCUUUGGCUGAUAGGAGCGUAAAUAAUUGUAACCAUAUACAUAUAAAAUGACAGCAAUGGAAUCCCAAUCCCCUGCUUUUAUUUGUAAAGUCUCUAUUCCUCGGUGAUCAAAGCCCAAUGUCUCGGGGACUCAUUCUGACUUAAACAAGGGGUGGGUCUUUACCAACUUCCUAAAUCUAUAAAAAUAUAAAACUUCUCGGCUUUUACCCAUUUUAAUUUUUUUUGGAAUAAACUGUUGUCAACUAAUCUUUUCAAUGUUCAAUUCUACUCUAUGUUAGAACACGAGAAAGUGGAAAUCCUUUUGAAGGAAGCUAUUCAGGAACAGCUGGAACGGUUUUCUCUUCAGUAACAAAUAAAUUUUGCAUGCAGGCGAGUUGCAGCCUGCAAUCCGAACUGAGGACGGGUUUUUGGAGUUAGCUCACCCUCGCGAGAUCGCGACCCUUUGUCCCGCCCAUUGUAGCCUCUAUUGAGAAUCUAGUUUCUUGAUCGAAGUAAAGAAGAAUUUUAGUUCCUCUUUAGGCGAGCUACUUCGUUCCUAUUCUCCGAAUCUGAAUAGGAGAAGGUUGUAAUGAACCCAAAAUACAUCGCUAAGGUUCAACCGUUUCGCUACGGUUUUCUUCCAAUUUCAUCCAAGAUUUAAUAACUGAUCCAUUCUCAUCCUCGGUAAAGUCCAUAUUAUUGUGAUAGAAAUGAAGAGAAAUAAAUAAGCUUUAGUUAAUGUAAUAAAUAUACCCAUUGCUCUUUGAUGAAAAGAUGAAAAAACCAAAAAAAAGCUCUGCCCUUCCAUCUCUUCGAUAGAUAGAGAGGGAGGGCAGAGGCCUUGAACAAAAAGAUCACAGUAAACUUUUGGUAAAAGUUCUAUCUUGGUCGGAGUGGGGAUAUCAUUUCUCUUCUGCAUGUCUAUGGAGUUUUGCAAAACCCAAACACCUCCCAUGCAAAACCGUGCAUGAGACUUUCAUCUCGCACGACUCCUAAGUGAUAAAAGAAAGAAGAACUCGUCUUCUCUCUUUUUUGAUUACCUUCCUCGAUCAUGAUUUGGAACCUGUUCUUUACAUGAACCCUCUUAACUAAGAUUUUCUUAUUUAUACCUGUUCUACUUUUUUUCUGUUCUGGCUCGGUUAUUCCAUCUAGCCGAGCCAUUCAUUCCUUUUUAUGAAAGAAAGAUAAGGGACUUCUUUAAAAAGAAAAAGAAGUGCCUCUAUAUUUAUAUUAUAGAUUUAUCCACUUAGAUGAAUAAAUAUUAUUAAUGAAUAUGUAUCACAAUCCAUCUCGAGGUAUUUGGAUCAAUACCUAUUCGGUGGAUCUUUUUUUCCUUUGAAGGUAAUUUUCCCAACCAAUAAGUAUUGGGCUCCCAAGUAAACAAAGCGAAGGAUCAAGUAACCAACAUGUUGCGGAGCAGCCAAGUAAACCCAUAAAUGACUCAAGUAAUCCAAGAAUCGAGGCAAACUCUGAAUACUAGAUAUGACCCAAAAAUAACAGGGGUCAAGGUCGGCCUACUGCAAACUCCAAAUAUCGUGGUCGGCGUACCUGGUCCUGAACUGUUUUUAAUCUAGAAUAAGUGGAAUCUUCUCGGCACUCUCCUUCUGCUUUAAGUCUGUUUACUUUUUACCGCCGUCUACGGAGAGACAAGAUGAGAGAGGAGAGAGGAAGCUGAAUGACAAGAGCUGAUGAAGUCCAAUCAAGAUGAGGCCUAGAAAGAGUUAAGAAAAAACACCUUCUACCUAAUUUCUGACGAAAAAGGCAGUCAUCAGUCGCCCCCUUUCCUAUUUAGCUUUGCUUGCUGCCUAUUAUGAGAAUAGGUCCCGGUUCAAGCGGCCCGCCUUUCAUCAUCAUCUAUACCAGCUGCCAUGCACGAUCCCAUAUGAACGAUUUCAUCGCCCUAAGAAGCAGAACGCGAGUUACGAAGAAACCUUUGCGAUGGUGCUGUGCAGUUGGGUUCUCUAUGGAGGAACUUCGUUGUGGGGACCAAGGGGUCUUCUUAAGAAGAGCGGAUCCAAUACACAUAAGACUUUUUUUCAGGAAAUUCCUAAUGUAACUGAUGAAUUUGGGAUGACCAGACAAUUCUUCAAUGUUGUGAAGGCCUCAAUUUGAGCAUCUGACCACUGGAAUGAUUCUUUUUUCAGACAGUCAUGAAGUGGCCUAGAAUUUAUAAAUUAAAUAUCUUGAAUAAAAAAAGGAAAUUUGCUCUGAUAUAUAGUAUAACCUGACUAUCUUGGCCUACCCAAGUGAAAUUACGAUAAAAGAAAAGUCCAGGGCAAAAAAACAAGUUAGGCUAUUCGAGAUUUGCUCUUUUUUCCAGCUUUUUGGAGUGAAAAUAAUAAACUUUUGUCUCAUACGGAAUACUAUAUGAUUUCACCGUUUGUUUCAUCAGAAACAAUCUGGGACGGAAGGAUUCGAACCUCUGAGUAACGGGACCAAAACCCGCUGAGGCAUCCUAACGAACGAACGAUUUGAACCUUGUUCCUACACGGCCUGAUCAAAUCGAUCAGGCACUUGCCAUCUAUCUUCAUUGUUCAACUCUUUGAUGAAAAUAUGAAAAAACCAAAAAAAAAGCUCUGCCCUUCCAUCGGAUGUGAACUAGCUUGCUCUGCUUGCGGAGAAAAACCAACCAAGAGGCGAUGGCCGAAGGAAGAAAUUUAGCAACACUUUUCCCGCAGGAUCUCUUGCAAGAAGAAAAUAAUCUCCAAAUUCGACGAUCGAGUUAUUCUCUAUAUCUUUAUAUAAAAUAAGAAGACAGAGAGACUCGGCUUCAAGAUGGAGAUUAAAGUUAUUUCACAGCUAAAUUCGUGUUUUCCUCGAUUUAAUAAAAUAUAGAAAGAAUUCAUGAUGAGCGGUAUAAUAAUCCGCUAUGAUGACAAUGCUGCGGUUAUAAUUGAUCAAAAAGGCAAUCCAAAAGGAACUCGAGUUUUUGGAGCGAUUGCCGAGGAAUUGAGAGGAUUGAAUUUUACCAAAAUAGUUUCAUUAGCUCCUGAAGUAUUAUAAACCAACAUUAUGAACUACUACUCGCUGAAGUACUUCGCUUUCAAGUAGACGGACUUGAUUUGAUCCCUCAUGGGAUCAAAGAGAAAAGGCUAUGUCACUCCAAAAAGGCUCCUUUUUCACUCAAUGAUUCCUUCGAAUUUGCCGACCAAAAAUUCUAUAUGUCUAUUCUAUCUAUGAUAUUUCUAUAUAGUAUAGGAAAUCCGUAAAAUCUCAGAUAUUAGUUAUUAAUCUUAGCUAUUAACUAGUUCUAAAUUUGAAGUUAUACUUAUAAAAAUAAAAAAAUACUAAAACUUCUUAAAGAUAAAGAGACUUUAGGCAAGUGGUUCUGGUAGCUCAGCUGGUUAGAGCAAAACAAGCAACGGAUUGAGCAACUAGCGCGAAAGCCGUUGCGCGUUAGCGCAUCCGUUUUCUUGCUGGAUUGCAAAUCCUUUUUUUCUUGUUUCAGUGGGAAGAGCAAGGGGCAUUGCCCUAGAAAUCCUUCAGUUGCCCGGGCCUGGUCACUGCGGCCCCCUUUUGUGAGGGGGCACUCCUUCUCCCGAAGUUACGGGGCUAUUUUGCCGAGUUCCUUAGAGAGAGUUGUCUCGCGCCCCUAGGUAUUCUCUACCUACCCACCUGUGUCAGUUUUGGGUACAGGUACCAUACGGCUCCUCCCUUCUGUACAUAAUAGUACUAAGAGAAAUAAUCUAUAAAAAGAUUUUUUUUCUUACAUCGAGAAAUAUUUGUUUUUCAAGAUAAACAAUCCUUGGGGUUCGAGAAUCCGCCUAUUUUACUAGUCUUCGGAAACGGAAAACCCUGAACCAAGAAGUCGGUGGAACCGCUGAACCACGCAAGCUGGUUAGAUGCGUGGGGCAGAGGGCUCCUAGUACCCCCAUUUUCUUGAUCCAGCCUUUUCUUCGCUUCGUUAAUGGCGAGGUUCAAAAGAGGAAAGGCUCGCGGUGGAUACCUAGGCACCCAGAGACGAGGAAGGGCGUAGCAAGCGGGAUACUUAGCACGUUAGCUAUAGCACUGCAUGGGUCAAGUCGCAUAGCACCUAGUAUCCAUCGUUUAUGGCUAGGUCAGAAUAAAUAGAAUAAUGAUCAAUGGAAAAAAGUUGGCCUCGGUCAUUAUGUAUUGAACCGAGGAAAAAGCCUCUGUAAUGGUUGGUCGGUAGUAAGACGACCUUUGCAUUUUACAUUUGGAUCUUUUUCUUAUUUCAAAAUAGUGAAAAAGUCAAAAUUUCCUUGCCAAGCUACAUGAAACAGAUUUCCGGACGUCCAUAGAAAGAUUAUUGCUAAUUGCCCAAAGUGAGAAGCAGAAAUGUUCUUCUGCUUGAUUUGAUCAAUCCAUAUGCUCCCAUCUUUAAUAAUAUUCCCGCUAAAAGCAUACAUGUACUAUAAUGUGCUUCCCCAUGGGUAUCUGGUAACAACGUAUGUAGGGGUAUAAUCGGCAAUUUGACAGCAUAAGCAAUAAGGAAGCCAAAAUAUAAAAGUAUUUUUUUUAUUUUAUUCUGGUUUUAAUCGUUUGAGGAAAACCCCCUUUGGCAUCAAUGAAACUCUGUUAUAUAGGAGUUCAAAAACCUCGCCCGCUUAAUUUCUUAAAGUACUAUGAUAAAAAGUUUAGUCUAGUUAACUGUUUAACUACUUAUAUCGAGAUUCGUCCAUUCUAUAUAUCUAGAAUAUAUAUAUUAAGGUAUAAUACAAUAAGGAAAAGGGGCAAUUCCCCCUUUUCCAUUGAAUUAGGGAAGGGGGUGAUUGAUCUUUUUUUGAAUCAGGCCUUACUGACUAAGUGGUGGUAUAAGCUUCAUUGCGGAUGAAAACAGAAAUAAUUUUGCCAGAAAUUGAUAAGGUAGCAUUUCCAUUUCUUCUUCAAAAAAAAGUGCCUUUUGAUGCAAGAAUUGCCUUUCCUUGAUAAUUUCUUGUCAAGAUGAAUAUUUUCUAAUGCCAGAGGAUACCCCUUUGAUCUGUAUCUGUUUAGUAUUUAGUUUAGUAUUUAGUAUAUAAUAGACCAAUAACAGAGCGGUAUUGCUUAGAAAAGGGAUUCAAUAUAUAAUCGAUCAAAGAAGUGGAGUUUGAAAAAGGGAACGGAAUGCUCAAACCGGAACUGCUAGAGGAAUGAAUUUUCAAUAGCAUAACUUGGGAUCCUAGAAUAUGGCGCCCUUGGGACAAUCUAUUUGAUUGCAGGGUUUUGUUCCGAAGCAAAGAUAUCCGCGGAGGCCAUGCCUCAUUUCAUAGGGAAGCCCAAAGUGGCUCUAUUUCAUUCUAUUUCACUUCCUAGCACUUCCUAUCAUUUAAUAUCCAUCCCUUUGGUCUAAUUUAGGACUUUCAAAUCUAUUUUAUUUUAUCUAAUUCUAUCUACGCCCCAGGGGCUAUGAACAAAAUAGUCCUUUCCUUUUUCAGAUCAUAGAGAAGCCGUAUGAAGCUAAGUUUUCAUGUACGGUUUUGAAAUAGCGGUGGGAACUAUGAUGUUCUUAUGGUUCUAUUUAAGAAUGGGUAUGCCAUACACCCCGCGGGGAUUGUAGUUCAAUUGGUCAGAGCACCGCCCUGUCAAGGCGGAAGCUGCGGGUUCGAGCCCCCCCUGACCAAAACCUCCCACAUUAGGAUUUCUUGUUAAUGGUUGAUCAAGCUUGAUGGAUUCCCCCUCUAAAACAAGAAGUUCUGGUCCGGGAGGUAUAAUAUCAAUCACUUGGCUAGCUAUAAUUCGAUAGACUUUCCGUAGCUCAGUACUGCUGAUCGUUGACCUGCUGAGGCAAUCGUAUUUGUUUUGGUAGAUAUGCUCUUCAAGCACUUGAACCCGCUUGGAUCACGACGAGACAGAUAGAGCAGAGGUGCUAACAAUAAUAAGAAUCUUUCAUCCUGCAAGUUACUCAUAAUUGAGAACUAGUAAUGUGGAUUUUGUUCCAUGCAAUACGGUUUUUUUUGGAUGGAAUAUUUGGCGUCAGCCUAUAGGUUUUCUGGUUUUUUUAAUUUCUUCUUUGGCAGAAUGUGAAAGAUUACCCUUUGAUUUACCAGAAGCGGAGGAAGAAUUAGUGGAUUAUUCGUGACUGCAUAUUUGCAAUACAGGCGUGGGGAUCAGUUGGAUCUUUGAUUGAGUCAUUUUUUUGAUUGACCUCCUCCAGACCAGAGAAAGAAAGGAGCUUCAGAACUCUUGUAUUCCACCGAAUAAGAAUAAGAAUAAGAAUAAGAGCAAGAAGGGGCUUUGUGAUAAUUGUGCUUGGGUGGAUGUUUAUGGUCCAACCAAAUUUAAGAGCUAUGUUUCAAUCUUCGCCUUGGAAUAAAAAGAAUUGAUAUUGGCGCGGUCUAACCUAUUAUGGGGAAUCGGUCCUUCACUUGUCCUAUCAUACCUUUUUCACGAGCCGGGCUUUGGAGAUGAGGCCUUCUGGCGAAGCCAAGUCAAUUUCGGGCCAGCAAACCCUGCAACUGAGGAACGCGAAAUGACUUUAGGUUUUGUUGAUUUAUUGCGCGAUGAUUUUAUUGAAAAAGAUCGUGCUCGUGGUAUCUUUUUCACUCAUUUUUAAAAUCUGGUAAAAAAUCUUCAACCUAACUCAACACAACUAUAUUUCGACUGCUGCGCAAAAAUGGGAUAUGCAUUUGAAAUAGAUGUCCGAGUUAUUAAGUAUAUCAUGAUCGAUACAGAAAUCGAUCGAGUUAUUUGUUCCUUUACCCAAGAAAAAGUAUUUCUAUUUUCCCAAUUUUAUUUUUUCAUUUAUUUGUUUCCCCCCAUUUGAAACAGGGCUCAAGUCGCUUCCUAAGAUGCUAAGUAGCAGGAGCAACUUUUAAUUUGUUAUGAGCCCAAACGAUAGAUUCAAUGAGUUCUUGCCAAUAACCACGGCCGCUGAAUAAAAAUUAUGAUGAGCAUCUAUUGGAGUCGAUCAUUUCCAAGAUCUAAUUCUAGUUUCUUAUUAUGUGGUGGAAACGCCUCACAAUCUUCGGUUUUACGCUUACGCUUAAGGGAAGAAAUGUUCUAGGCCAGACCAUCCUACAAAAACGAAAUGGUCCCUUCGUAACCAGUCAUCCAUAGUAUCAAAUAGAUCAUUUUCUUUCCCGGCAAUCUCCGCUUAUUAGGGUGGCCUCUAACAGGUCGGGAGAGUACUAAAAAUCUGGCUCAUACGCCUCGCAAGAUUGAACAUCUGCGAAAUGCAGAUCAAAUCACGUCUUAUAAUAAGAAGAAAUCUUUCUCGGUAUCAAUCCCCUUGCCUAAUCAUAUUCAAAAUCUGAGUUUGAUCCUGGCUCAGAAGGAACGCUAGCUAUAUGCUUAACACAUGCAAGUCGAACGUUGUUGUCGAAGUGCAAUCGUAGAACAGAAUGUGAUACGAUGAGAUAGAAUGCAAUAGAAAUAGAAACAAGGAUAGCGAAGGAGUACGCAAGAAAGGCAAAAGCACUACGAAUUAUUGAUUUAGGAAUGGGAAUGGGCUAGAACCCUGGGUUCUUUUUUGUAUCUUCAUCCAUAGAUCCUUUACUCAUAUAUUCAAUGUAGAAGAAUUUAAAUUUGAGAAUCGAAGGUUCAUAAUAUAAAAAUAUAAAACUUCCCGGCUUUUACCCAUUUUAAAUUUUUUUUGGAAGCCCGAUAAGCAUGUCUUGGGUUGGUACGCAAAUAGGAUCCCCAAUAGCGGGAGAUAAGAGAUUCAUAUGAGAAAACAUAAGUAAACGGGCUUCUGCCUGAGCUUCCAAGGAUAAAGGUAGAUGAAAGAGGCCGCUCUCGUGCAAGACUUCUUUAUUCUCCUGAUUUCCCUCCUCCAGUUGGAUUGACACGAAAGUCCAGUGAUAACGUUGAAGUACUUUAAAGAGUCCCUUUCAGCCCCCGCUUUAUCAUAGGAAGAAGAAGAGUAAUCUAGUUUAGGCGUCAGAAGAAUGGAAGGACAACGAGAAGAUGGUUCGGUUGCUCCUGCUGGAAUAUUCCAUUUAAGAAACAGGAAAGGGUUGAUAAAUGAUCAAGAAAAAACUUUUCUAUUUUUCAUUCGAUUUGCAUUAUCCGUAGGACACCUUAUAUGUAUCAAAAUUGAUAUCGAUUUCUAGUCGCGUAGCUUCAUAAUAAAUUUGCAAAGCUUCCGCAUAAUGUCCUUCGGAUUGAGCCAACAUCCGUUACGGUCGUUCAUUCUAUUCAAAAAAUCUCCGUUCCAUUAUCAGCUCACUCUUCAUCAAUCCCUAUGGAUCGAUCUAGCAAUCAUGGAAUCUAUAUUCUGUUUACUGAAUCACAUGAAAUUCUAGGGAUCUAUGAGAUCAAGUAUGGAAUUCUGUUUACUCACUUUAAAUUGAGUAUCCGUUUCCCUCCUCUUCCCGCUAGGCAACCAUGUCAUCCAUGAACAGGCUCCGUAAGAUCCCAUAGAGUAGAAAUGGAAUAAGUCAUGUGACAUGAUCCAGUUCUCUAUUUAUUACAGGCACAAUGACGCAAUUAUCAGGGGCACGCUCUACCACUGAGCUAAUAGCCCGUCGCGCGGGCCUCAUUUUCGAUUUCAGGACUUUUAGCCCCGGUUAGUGAAGGACCAGAGAACAAAAAAGAGUUGUUUUGGUGAACAUCAAAGAAAAAACUUGCUCUUCUUCCAUAAAAAAUUCUUCUAAAAACGCGGGGAUUGUAGUUCAAUUGGUCAGAGCACCGCCCUGUCAAGGCGGAAGCUGCGGGUUCGAGCCCCGUCAGUCCCGAACUAGGGUUCAAUGAAUGGAGAAAUUUAUAUUUCCUUUUUCCUGACGAUCUACGAUCACAGAACGCAAUAAUAUGAAUGUCUCUCACGAGCCCCAAAGAGGCAAUCAAGUAUGCCUGCUUUGUUGGCACAGGGAAAGGUAGAACGACCUUCCACCAUGUCAACCGCUCACUAGACUUCUUGUUGCAGUGAAGUUGCUUCAUCACCCGGCUCAACAUCAGCCUCUUCCUUUGCUCCCCAUUUUUAGACUUCUACAAGUCGACCUUCUUACGAUGGAAAUCACGAAAAAGAAUCCUGAAGGAGGAAAUAGUUCACUUGUUGGGCACCUGGGCUCCCUAUUUGUAAAUUCACUUACGUGACGAGCAAUUAACAAGGCGCGCUGCUCUUAUAACAAAGGAAUUCAUAUUUACAAUGAAAAUUUGACCGGAUUUUUUUAUGUGUGCAAUUGGGUCGUUGCGAUUACGGGUUGGUUGUCUAAUUGUCCAGGCGGUAAUGAUAGUAUCUUGUACCUGAACCGGUGGCUCACUUUUUCUAAGUAAUGGGGAAGAGGACUGAAACAUGCCACUGAAAGACUCUACUGAGACAAAAAGAUGGGCUGUCAAAAAGGUAGAGGAGGUAGGAUGGGCAGUUGGUCAGAUCUAGUAUGGAUCGUACUCGUCUUUGAGCCUCUAAAAAGAAGGGCAUAGUAUCCCAGCCACCUAGACCACCUAAAAGGAAGGAAUUUUGAUUUACCUAUUCAAAGCAAUUUACGCGAGGGACUUUCUUUGACAGAAUAUAUAAUUUCCUGCUAUGGAGCCCACAGCGGGUUUUCCAACAGGCCGUACAAGGAGCUCUAGGAACUCUGAAUAGUUGUUUGAAUACCGAGUUACAUUUCCGUACGAUUCCUGAAGUCCUCCCUCCCUUUCUUUCGGAGGUGCUGACCCGUCUGUUUGUUUUGUUUUGAAUUGACAUAGAGAAAGAUUUCUCGCAUUCAAUUGUAGCCAAUAUUUUAUUGUGAAUAAUUCCGACAACCUCAGGAGAAAAAAAGACAUUUACAUAUUAUAGAGAUGGUGCGAUUUGACUCUUUUUUUUUGCUUUUUUAGCCCUACCUACACCUCAGUCUUACGAAAAAGAGAAGGGAUAUUCUUGAUCGAUUUGGUCGGAUAUGUAGAAAUCUUUUUCAUUAUCUUUUUUUUUGAAGAAGAAAUGGAAAUGCUACCUUAUCAAUUUUUAUUAUGCCACUGAAGGGGGGGGGGAGAUAAUACCGAUUUAAGAGUAGUUCACUACUGCAAUAAAAAAAAUUGUAAUUCGCUAUUUAAUCACGAAACACGCCACUUCUAAUGUAAGGAUUGCUAAAAGGAAAAUUUGAGAAAAAGAACCCAUUGUAUGGGGAAUACUUCAAGAAGUUAUGCAGGGACAUCCUGUAUUGUUAAAUAAAGCACCUACCCUGAAUAGAUUAGGCAUAUAGGUCUUUCAACCCACUUUAGUAGAGGGGCGUACUAUUUCUUUACACCCAUUAGUCUUUUUUCAACCUACUCAAGUCCAAACCGUUGGGGCCCCUUAGAGUUUCUAACCAUGGAGCACGAUGAUAUGACUGAUAAUCAGAAGCGAGAGGCUCUGCUCUCGAAACUUGACCUCCUCGAUUCGAUCGAUGGGAGAAAUAAAAGGUUACGAGGCGAUAUUCCAUAAUUAACAUAGUUCGGUUAGAGUGGAUUUGAAAAGCUACAGCAGAUUGAUAAGUUGCUAAUUUAGCUAAGUCAACUCCACUACGGAAUCUAGCUCUCCAUAAGAGGGUAUUCCCAAUGAGACAAGUAGUUUAUCGAAGGGACCCUCUGUCUGAAGAUUGUAGUCCGGAUUUCUCGGAAUAGAAUAAUUGAAUGAGUGCGGGGGUCGAUGAAGCAGAAGCGAGAAUGUCGGCUUGAGUAACGAAAACAUUGGUGAGAAUCCAAUGCCCCGAAAACCCAAGGUUUCCUCCUCAAGGUUCGUCCACGGAGGCGAGGUUCAAAAGAGGAAAGGCUUGCGGUGGAUACCUAGGCACCCAGAGAUGAGGAAGGGCGUAGCAAGCGACGAAAUGCUUCGGGGAGUUGAAAAUAAGCAUAGAUCCGGAGAUUCCCAAAUAGGUCAACCUUUUAAACUACCUGCUGAAUCCAUGAGCAGGCAAGAGACAACCUGACCUUCGUACUUCGAUCGAGAUAUUGGACAUAGAAUGCCACUCUUUAAAGAAAUCAAUCAGCUCCUAAUUAGGUCCCCCAAGGCGAGCGAAGUGACGUUUUUAUUUCUCUUCCUCUGGUUAGAAAAAAAAAGAUUUCUAGAAAUAUUCUCUGAUGAGCGGACGGGAAAACCCUCUUUGGAUUUUCCCAAGAUCUUUGGAAUUCAUUUAUUUCUUGAGUUGUUUUUCACAUUCUUUCGAUAGGUAAUUGCAGAUAUUGACAAAGAUGGUGUACAUGAAAUGGUGAUUGCACUUUGACUCAAAAGCACAUUAUCCGCAACAUGGAAUGAAAGAGAAAUUCAAAUUAUGUAAGGUUUUUAAAAAAGUCCUGUGACUCAUGUGUGGUAUUUGAAAGGUCUUCCUAGUUAUAUCGCGAAUCUUUUAGAUAAACCUCUUAAGAAGACGGAGUGGUUGCACGUGUAAGUACAUCAUGUUACAUAUCUAUUUUAAGCUAAGCUAAAUGCCUAAACUAAACAAUUUUCUAUUAAGCACAGCAUCUCAUUGAGCUUCUCUUUUGUGCCUGCUUUCUUCUUGAUUUAUUGCAGCAGCUAGUCUCCCUUUUCCAAAUUCGAUUAAAAGCAUUACAAAAGGCUCAUUCAUCGAAAAUCAAAAUCAUACAGACAGGAAAAGAAAAACGAAUUUCUUGCCCGAACUUAUGCGAAGUAAAAAUUUAUCGAAUUCGAUCAGCACUAUAAAAAAACCUAAGUAUUUUAUUGAUCAGGCGGCACCCUGUCUACGGUUCCCUUGCGUGUGCUCGGGAUAGGUGUUUUGUAUAAAUGUUUUGCCAUAUUAUUAAGUAUUCUCCUUUAGUUUUUUUCUCUUCUGUGGAGCCGAGUUCGCCGACUGAGACUACUUGAAAAGCAUUUUCGACCAACCGAUCUCACGAGCUUCCAAAAAAUUUCUUUCCGAGUUAAUUUUCUCAGUUUUAUUACAACUUAUUAAGCACGAGAGUCAUAAGAUCCUGGUUAUAGAAGAAGAGUAGGCGAUAACUCUUAUUGUGAAAAGAGCUAUUUACUCUAUAAAUAAUGGGAAAAUUUGGAUUCAAUUGUCAACUGGUCCUAUCGAAAGUAGGAUUGAAAACUCCAUUUUCCGAGAUACUAUUACUCGACCAGGAAUCACCAACCACUAUAGUUAGAUUUAUUCGAUUUCUUCCUUUCAUUAAGGUACGAGGGCUUCUUAUUCCACAAGAACGAAAGCACCUUUUCAUUCUUUCAUAUACUAGGGGGAAGCUAUUCAGGAACAGCUGGAACGGUUUUCUCUUCAGUAACAAAUAAAUUUUGCAUUCUGUGAGAUUCGUUACCUACCAAAGAAAGGUGCAAAUAAGCCAUUUUAUUCGAUUUUGCCUUUGCUGAUCCUGCUCAUGCUUUUUUUCUCCUUCUUUUUCUUCUUUAACCAUAAAUCCAAAAAAUUUCUACCUCCUUUCUUUUUCAUGUAUUUUUCUCAUCAGGAAAAAUACAAAAUUAUGUUAGUUAUUUUGAAGUUAUUCUUGCUCCUUUUUACCAGAAUUGAAUUUUUUUAAAGAUUACUUCCGGAUUUGGGCGGGACAAAGGGUCGUGAUCUCGCGAGGGUGAGCUAACUCCAAAAACCCGUCCUCAGUUCGGAUUGCAGGCUGCAACUCGCCUGCAUGAAGCAGGAAUCGCUAGUAACAUCGGCUCUUCCGAGAUCUUAUGUAAGGAAUACUCGAAAAAGUAGAGCAAAAAGAUCUACAAAACUCUACAAGAAAUGUCUUUCCCGUAGAAGACUCUAUAUCUUCGAGCUUUUAUUCCUCAAUCCACUUAUUCGUUCCCUUCUUUCAUAUACCUCCCCACCAAUAGAUAGAGACAAAUGGGAAUAACUGAACCACGUCUACAAAAUGCCAGUACCAUGCAGCUGCUUCCUUCGCUUUGCUAUCUAAUAACUUUUUCUACCCCUCUUCCCUUUUUCUUUGUAUCAACUAUAAACCACUGGAUUGUCUUCAAUUGGAUGGGGGAAUCCAAUUGACAGCCUCCAAAUGUGCAAAUGUUGUGGCAGGGGCAGGGUCGGUCAAAUCGUCUACAGGUACAUAAACUGCUUGAAUCGAAGUUAUAAAUCCCUUUUUAGUAGAAGCAAUUCUUUCUUGCAAAGAACCCAUUUCUGUCAUGCUCAAUUAUCUCUUAACCUAGCUAUGCUAGGCUCUACAACCAUUGUUGUAGCUCAUCAUAUGUAUUCUAUGCCUCCCUAUCAAUACCUAGCUACUGACUAUGGUGCACAACUUUCCUUGUUCACACACCACAUGUGGAUUGGCGGAUUUCUAAUAGUCGGUUAUCAGUGGGAUCAGGGAUACUUUCAGCAAGAAAUAUAUCGAAGAGUUAGCAAUGGUUUAGCUGAAAAAAUCAUAAUUUUGGAUUCUAUUCAAAAAAGAUUGAUUUUAUUACGACAUGCUAUUUUUUCCAUUCAUUACCUUUGAGGAUCAGUCGUUUACUUUUUUUUUGCAAAGUUUCUGUAAAUUUGAAGUUGAACUUACUUAAACAAGCCAGACAUUGUGAUCGUCCUUGAUCAGCAAAAAGAGUAUAUAGCUCUUCGGGAAUGUGCCAUUUUGGGGAUUCCUACUAUUUCUUUAGAGGCUCAAAGACGAGUUCUUUGAAGGAAGCAAAAGAACCCAUGUGUCUCGGAUGAAGUCUACCCUCCUUUUGUGUCGGCAUUUACUUAUUAUGCUCUCUUCUAAUAGUGGUCCCUUGGUAUUCAGGUUGUAAAAUCCUGAUAGGAAAGUCGACUGUUAUACCUUGUUCUCGAAAAAGGGGUAAUUUUUUCUGGGCCUGUAUUCUUUUUCUAGGUUCACUACGAUUCUAUGAAAGAAUGAAGAGACUUUAUCACAACUCCUAAAUUGAUUUUUGAUCGACCUAUUUAAUCUGAUUCUCGCUAGAAUUAUCUUAUUAUUGUUAGCACCUCUGCUCUACCUUUUCAGGCUAGCUUCCCAUCGCUCGAAGUACACUUCCGCCCCGGCAUAGCGCUUCGCUUCCGGUUCUUCGGAGGAAUCAACUGACUUCUCCCUUCUUCAUUGAUCCGGGGGAACUUGCGAUAUUGAGGGGAUAAUACCAACUCAUCCAUUCAUCUUUCCCGAUCUAGUGCCAUCGUUCUUCAAGGUGCCGGAAGGUUUGAAGCCCAUCUAAAGUAGCUUGAAAUUCUUUCCUCUACAAUCCAGAGCAGUCCGAACAUGUACCGCGAUCUGGACGGACAAAGUGCCGUACACUUGAGAUGUUUGGUCAAGUCCUAUAACGAGCGAAACCCUUGUUUUGUGUUGCUGGGAAGAAUAUCUUAAGUAGUUGAAUCCGCUCCGCUAGGUUAAAUUGUAUGAUCUGAAUGUAGGAGGACUGCUGCUGGUGACACAAUUUCUUUUGGGUCUGAAGAAUGAACUCAGAGCUGCAGUGGAAGUGCAAGUGCACCCUAAUAUAGCUGGCUCUUUGUGGUAUUUGAAUAUUCUCCAAGAAUUCUGGUGCAUUUACUGUUAACAAAUAGAAAUAGGUAUAGUAUAGGAAAUCCGUAAAAUCUCAGAUAUUAGUUAUUAAUCUUAGCUAUUAACUAGUUCUAAAUUUGAAGUUAUACUUAUAAAAAAUAAAAAAAUACUAAAACUUCUUAAAGAUAAAUUGUGUCUAAAUAAUUAUACAACUAGGAAUACUAAUAAUCUUCUCCUAUCCUACUUUUUGAUUCAUUUAGUUCUUCAAUUAACUCAAAGUGCUUGAUCGGUAACUAAUAGUACUACGAACUAAUACUAAUAUAUAGAAAUAGAUAUCUAGAAAUAGAAAUGAACUAAUAUAUAUAUAAUCGAAAUUGAAAAGAACUUUUUUUAUUAAAUGAAAUAGUUCGUUUUCUCGCUCUUAACUCGAAAGUACUAACUAAAUAGGGGUACGGAGAAAUAAACAAGUGUGGGGGAGAAGCAGCCGAGCUCAUUCCCUUCCAUUUCUCAAUUAUGAGUAACUUGCAGGGUGAAAGAUUCUUAUUAUUGUUAGCACCUCUGCUCUACCUUUUCAGACAUCAAAUAGCUUCGAUUUGCAUUAUCCGUAGGACACCUUAUAUGUAUUAAAAUCGAUAUCAAAAUCAAAAAGAUGAAAGAUGUACAAUCCAAUUUCUCGAUUCAAUAGAAGCAGCGGGACUACCAGGGUAAAGCCCGUCCCCGCUAGCUCAUCCAAAAGAUCAUCAAUGACUCUAUCGGGUAUUUCUUUUUUACGGUUUGCGCAUUGAGUUGCCUAUAAUACAUAGGCCCCACGAACCUUCUUUCUUCUUGUAAAGAAGAGCCGGUGAGGCAUGAACUAGGUUGUAGAGUACCAUUCUAGAGUAACUCCUUGAUUAUGGCUUCAAUUUCAUCCGAUUUUUUGAGCAACUAGCGCGAAAGCCGUUGCACGUUAGCGCUUUCUUGCUUGAUUUUUGAUUGGAUAUCCCGCAUAAGGAAUCAAAGGAAGACGCGAAGUUUUAUUCCAGGGAAUCCCCAACGAAAAAUGCACACUUGGACAAUUUAUUUGUGAAAAUGUAUGUCUAUUUAAAUCGCUCAUAAAAAAUCCGGUCAAAUUUUCAUUGUAUUGAUUUACAGAUCAAGAGAGAUCAUGGAUAUCAGAUAGAACUCAGAAAGAACUAUCAAGAUGGAAGUUAUCCUAUAGAUGUUGUAUCCAUGCCUGUUCGAAAUGUGAAUCACCCUAAUAGUGCUAUACAAAAAAACAAAAGCAAAUCUUCUGAGGCAAAAUAGACAGUAAAAGCCAAAAUAAACUAAAUAUAUAUAGCCUGAAUGAUCCUAAAAAUCCCUCGAAGGCAAAACCGUGCAUGAGACUUUCAUCUUGCACGGCUCCUAAGUGAUAAAAGAAAGAAGAACUCGUCUUCUCUCUAAUGGAUAGGACAGAGGUCUUCUAAACCUUUGGUAUAGGUUCAAAUCCUAUUGGACGCAAUCUUACGUUUUCUUUCAAGCCUUUCAACCAAUCAAUGCGACCUCGUAGGGCAGCUUUUGCUAAAACUCGAGCAACAGACCAGUACUAUCCAUCAAUGCCACAAAGACCAUAGACGACCUCUAUUUCGUGGAAGAACUCUGACUAUUUUUGGAAAUAGUAUUUUUUUUUUGCAGCUUAGCUCAAUUCAUGCAUGGUUCCCGAUAAUCUGCUUGGUUGCUAAUUGGUUUAUAUGGAUUCUUCGCGGCUGAGUCCAAAAAUAGAAAUAGUAUUGCCAGAAAUUGAUAAGGUAGCAUUUCCAUUUCUUCUUCAAAAAAAAGUGUCAAGUAUCUUGGGAUUUUUUAGGUGUGAAGUGAAGUUCACAAGAAGUCGACUAGGCGGACUGGUCCGAGUGAAGAGAAAAAAAAGCCAUACGAAACUCAAAAUAUUUUCCAGAGAUAUUCAUUUUCCUGAAGAGGCGGAUAAGAUAUUAGGAAUUAUUUAUAAAUAGGUAUUCCGUUUCAUCUCAGAAAAGAACCUAAAAAUAUUCCUUGACAAAUUCUAUUUGUUCAAUAGACCUUUGUCAAUGGAAAUACAAUGAUAAGAAAACAAAUUAGAUAGAAAAAGUAAAUAAAAUAGGGGCAUUUAUUACUUGGACCAUAUUCGCAAUUUAUUUACAUAGUAGAACAAAUCCAAAUUGGAAGGGUACGAAUUCUGAACCAAAACCCGCUGCCUUACCACUUGGCCACGCCCCAUUUCAGGUUUUAUGCGACACUAAUAAACACUAGUAUGUUUAUUUGUUAUUCGUCAAUACCAUUUCAAUUACAUAAAAAAGGAGGGAUAUUCUCUUGCUAGAAUUUGGGAAGCUGCAUCUGUUGAUGAGUGGUUAUACAAUGGUGGUCCUUAUGAGCUAAUUGUUCUACACUUCUUACUUGGUGUAGCUUGUUAUAUGGGUCGUGAGUGAAACAAAACAGCUUAUAAAUUUGUAGUAAAAAGAAAAAAAAUCUCAUUUCCAAUCAAAACAAAAAAUACUGAGUCUCUUAAAUAAGACAUUCUAAAACUUAGGUAAUUUAUAGUCAUUAGGAUUUUAGUUCUAAUCCUCGUGUCACCAGUUCAAAUCUGGUUCCUGGCAUAGAAAAAACAAUCUGCCGAAUUCCCCCAGAACUACGUUUUCUUUCAAGCCUUUCAACCAAUCAAUGCGACCUCACCCCGCGGAGAACUCUGGUUGCGCUUUGGUUGGCUUUCUCUUUUUUUCGAAGGUAAUCAAAAAAGAGAGAAGACGAGUUCGAAUCCCUCUCUUUCCGUUUUUAUUAAUUCAUCAACGUUAAGGAUCACUUCGAUCUCCCCCCCAGAUGAACCAUAUAGCCAAGAGAAACCAUGAACCAGAAUAGAAGAGCUUGCCCCACCCAUGAGUAAGUAUUUCAUAGUAGCCUCUUUUUAUUCACUUUAUUACUUCUAUUCUAGACCCUAUCCCUAUGGUUUAUUCUUAUGAAAUAUCAUAUAAAAUAGAAGUUAUCUCUUUAGGAUCCACCCCAGCGUCUAGGAAUUGGUUAAUUGGUAAAAAUACAUGAAUUUGGUGCCCCGCCCAAGAAAGAGACCCAAGUCCUAAUAAUCCCGCUAAGUGGUGAUUCAACAUGGAAUCUCUUCUCACCCCCAUAUCCAAAUAAAAAAGCGGUUUAAGUAAUAAAUUUGAAUUAAAGAGAAGAAUCAACGAAUUCAUGAUUAAACCCCUAUUGCAUUUAUUUUUCUCAUUGCCGGUCACAUGUAUCAAACUAACUUCGGAAUUGGGCACAGUAUUAAAGAUCUUUUAGAAGCGCAUACUCCUCUGGGGGGUCGAUUAGGGCGUGGGCAUAAGGGCCUGCAGGAAAGCAACUUGAUAUUGCGAUCUAGAUCCAGCAAGAAGUAACGUUGCACUAUGACUCAAUCCAGUUGGAAGAAUAAGCUUAUAUACCCAAUCCCUUAUUUUUUUAUCUUCCUGUAGACCUUCCGAAUAAUUUUUUGGUUGUGCGAACCAAAAGGAAUGGUUUUUUUGGGUUGUACCAAGUCUGAAACCGAGUGGAUUUAUUUUUUGCUGGAAGGUCAAGGAAGUUGGUGAACUGAUGACUGGGAAAAUCUAGAAAUAUACAUACCCAGUUAAGGUGGGAUAUGAUUGCAUCGCGGUGUCUAAGGACGCGAUCUAAUAGAUCGUUGUAUCGAAUCGAGCGGGCAAGGGAUCGCAAACAUCUUUUCUUUUCAGAGAAAAGGUUUUCAAAAGAUAUUGCCAAUUCGGCAGUUCGAUCUAUGAUUUCACAUUCAUGGACGUUGAUAAGAUCCUUCCAUUUAGUAGCACCUUAGGAUGGCAUAGCCUUAACAUUAAUGGCGAGGUUCAAAAGAGGAAAGGCUUGCGGCGGAUACCUAGGCACCCAGAGACGAGGAAGGGCGUAGCAAGCGACGAAAUGCUUCGGGGAGUUGAAAAUAAGCAUAGAUCCGGAGAUUCCCAAAUAGGUUCGUUAAGAUAUGUUAUCCAGACCAACUCCCACGUAGAAAACCAAGAGCAGUGAGUUACAAAACCAAGAGCAGUUAGAAUCGCGUAGCUGAACUAUUUCAGGCUCCGUAUUGAAUUGAAAAACUCUUUCAGGCUCCGUAUUGUAUUUAUAAACUCUUUCAGGCUCCGUAUUGUCCCGGUUCGAGAGGUUGAGCGAGCUAACCAAUUUGAUGUUUUGGAUGGCCAAAGAAUAGGUGUUUACUCCUCUUACCAAUUGAGGAAAGAAUAGAAUCCUAGAAUUCCUAUUCGAGAAAUUUUUGGGCACCGCAAGCAAUCGACCCGGAUCAUUCAAUACGACAGUAUGAACACGAUACCAAGGCAAACCCAUGGAAAUACCCCUUUAGCAAAGAAAAAUAGACACGAUGUCGCUUUAUUUUAUUGCAUUGAAAAAGACUAUCCAUAUCCUAUGUAUCAAAAGAUAGGAGAGCACCCCUUCUCCCGAAGUUACGGGGUCAUUUUGCCGAGUUCCUUCAACAUGGUGGUUAGGACAUCCCGUCUUUAGAGAUAAAGAAGGACGUGAGUUUUUGUAUGCCGUUUGCCUACUUUUUUUGAAACAUUUCCGGUUGUUUUGGUAGAUGGAUGGAAGAAAGAAUGGAUAGUCCAAUAGCGGCUUCAGCAGCCGCAAGGGCUAUAACAAAAAUUGCAAAAAUAUCUAUGUCAAUUAAAGGGACUCAAAAAGAAAAAAGUAUUCUCAAAUUGGACUUAGUAAAUAUCAGGAUAAUGAUAUGGAUUGUGAAUGACUUAUUGUAUUUUUUAUUUUUAGUUUGAAAAAUUUUCUGUAAAAAAAAUGGAUAAUGACCCCUUCUUCCUAUAUAUUACCAAGGAAAAGUAAUCCUUCUUUUAUAGGCGAAAUUAUAUUGGAUUUUAUAUGUAUAUAAUUCCUUAAUUAUAUGAUCUUAAAGGGGAUCUUCUAUAGUUGAGCGAUUCGGCAGAUUUGGAUUCCUUUCCUAUAUAUCCACUCAUGUGGUACUUCAUCAUAUGAUUCAUAUAAGAUCCAUCCACUCAUGUGGAAUUCUUUUAAAAUUGGGAACCCAAUCCUUCACUGAAAAACGCAUCACACCCUUUGUAGGUUCAAGCCGAAGUCAAGCAUGAUCACGUACUGCAAACUCCAAAUACUCUUUUCUUCCCGCAAUGGAAUCGGCUUAAGCUCGAUCUUUUCUUUCAUUUCCUAUCAUAGGGAUAUAAAAAAAAUCCAAUUGCAUUUUAUUUUUUUACUCAUCUGCUCUAUUAAUGCAGAAAUAAGUAAAAAAGUAUAAUUAGCUUUUUUUAAAGAUUGACGAAUCAAAUGAUAUUUCUGUUCUAAUUUCUGCCGCUUCUUCUCCCUCUGAAUCAAACUUUUAUUGGCAAAGAUAGAAAAGGUCAAUAUGAAGGAGGAGAAAGAAAAAAUAGGAAUUCCCGAAGUAAUGUCUAAACCCAAGGAUUUCACAAAUCAAAGAUAAAGGAUUCCAGAACAAGUAAACACAAUUUCCAAUUGUCUCAACAACAGAGCUGCAGAUCGUAAUGCUCCUAGAAAGGCAUAUUUUGAAUAUAGAGGACGUUCCCAACAAUCCAUGAGAAUAUCAUACAGAAAAAAAAUAGGAGAGAAAAAAAACCCGAGAGAAGCAAAAGUAACUUUCGAAGGUUUAGUUACGGAAGCCCUAUGCAAUGGAAUGUUCCGCGUUCGGCUAGAGAAUGACACCAUCAUCCUAGAUAAUAAUCCAGCCUUCAAUAAGAAAAACUCUUUUGUUUGUAAGAAAGGAAUGAGAGAGAUAUGGAUUAGAAAAAAAAUUCCCAAAGAAAGAUAGAGUAAUAUAAUAUCCUAAAUUCUACUAAUCCACAUAUCGUAUGCCCGCACAGAGCGGUACUACCGCUCCAAGGAGCAGUACUACCGCUAGGGCGGUAGUACCCCUUUAAAACACAACAGCGAGGAGACAAAAAGGCCAGAAGAACCGUCGGAGCAGUAGUACCACUUGACAUCACGGUACUACUGCUAGGGGUAGCGGUACUACUGCUAAGGGUAGCGGUACUACUGCUUGCGAGCAGUACUAAAAAAUUGCAUCCGGGCCUACCACCGCAGGACAUGGGAUGAGUUUUUGGUCCGAAGCGGUACUACCGCUACAGGAGCCGCGGUACUACCGCUAUAGGAGCCGCGGUAGUACCGCUCUGGAGUUGUAGGAAAAAAUUACGUCCGCUCCAAUUUGCAGUAGUACCACUGCAGCCUUUUCAGGACACGAAAACCGCCACAACUUUUGCAAACGGACUCCGAAUUCGAUGAAGCCAAGUUUGUUGGAAAGCUAGCGACAAGGGCUAACACAAUAUUGAAAGAAAUAUCAAUAUGAAGCAAAUUAUAAAAAGGCGCAUAAGAAAAUGGUGAGAACCCUUCCUUGGAUAAGACCGGUAAAACCUCCAACACCGAAAACAUCAUAGAAGACGCAUGCAAACUCCGUUUUCGAUGAACUCAAGCUUGUCAUCAAGAUGACCAUAAGCUCUAAGACUCACAAAGAGAACCAAACAAGAACCAAGAAACAAGAUGCAAGGAUGCAAUGGUUUGAGCUCUCUACUAACGAUACGAUCAAGCUACCAAUUUGAGAGCCCCCCUCGAUAGUACGGCAAACGAUCCUAUAACCCGAUCUCCCAACUACCACCAUGAGACCGGUAAAAUAGAAAACCUAUCAAGGGAAAACCUUUGCCUUGCACAUGGUCCACUUGAGCUCGAUGAUGACGAUCUUGACUCCCUAAAGUUGGACCACCUUUCUUUAUUGCGUUGGCUCGAUGAAGACUAGAUUAUUGCUCCCCCAUAGUCCACUAUGGGUGAGCCACUCUUUGGCUCAUCUUCACAAGUCCAUUGUCACCACAAUGGGCGGCAAGCGUAAACCACUUGAUCUCUUCAUGAUGCAGCACUUGAACUUGCACAGCGCAUCCUAACCCCACAAAGAACUCUCACGAAGACCAUGGGUUAGUACACACAGCAUAAAUUGACAAUGCUUAUCAUACCAUGGGAUCACUUGAUCCCUCUCGGUACAUCUUCUACGCUUUGUGAGUUGAUCAACUUGAUUCACUCUUGACUUAGUCUUGAUCAACCUUGAAUCUUUCCAACUCUCUUCAUUUGGGUGAUGUCUUGAAGGUAAACACGAAUGAUCACACAAUCUUCUUCUUCAAAACAUGCUUGCAAUAAGCUCAACACUCACAUGACCAAUCUUUGGAUAAUUCCUUAAUAGCACCUUGGUCAACUCAUAAACUCCUUGAAAGCAACACAUGGACUUCAUGAAAAGCCUAUGGACAAAAUCUUCAAAUAUAACUCAAGGCAACCAUUAGUCCAUAGAGAUUGUCAUCAAUUACCAAAACCAAACAUGGGGGCACCGCAUGUUCUUUCAGCGUAUCAUAUCACGGGGUUUGGAUGCACCGGCAAAGUUUGCACCAUCUCCCGAGGUGAGAAAGGGCAAUGCACGGUACCGAAGAGGCUAGCAAUGAUGGAAGGGUGAGAGUGCAUAUAAUCCAUGGACUCAACAUUAGUCAUAUAGAACUCACAUACUUAUUGCAAAAAUCCAUUAGUCGCCAAGACAAAGUACUACGUGCAUGCUUCUAGGGGGAUAGAUUGGCAGGAAAAGACCAUCGCUCUUCCCCGACCGCCACCCAUAAGGAAGACAAUCAAAAAAUACCUCAUGCUCCAACUUCGUUACAUAACGGUUCACCAUACGUGCAUGCUACAGGAAUCACAAACCUCAACACAAGUAUUUCUACUAAUACACAACUACCCACUAGCAUGAAUCUAAUAUCACCAUCUUCAUAUCGCAAAACUAUUGCAAGGAAUCAAACAUAUCAUAUUCAACGAUCUACAAGUUUAUGUAGGAUUUUAUGACUAACAAUGUGAAUAACCAAUUCCUGUCAUCUCUCUAAAUAGAUAUAAGUGAAGCAAGAUAGUUUAAUUCUUUCUACAAAAGAUAUGCCCACUCUCUAACAAAUAUAAGUGAAGAAAAAGAGCAUUCUACAAAUGGCGGUUUUCUAUGUGAAGAGAAACAGGCAAUCCAAACUUCAAAUGAUAUAAGUGAAGCACAUGAAGCAUUCUAUAAUGCCAUACUCAAAAGAUUUAAGUGAAGUGCAAUAAGAAUUCUAUAAAUCAACCAAGGACUAUCUCAUACCUGCAUGGUGCAUAAAAGAAAGGUGAAAAAUAAAUGCAAAAGACGCUCUAAGAUUUGCACAUAUCGCAUGAACGAAACGAAUCCGAAAAACAUACCGAUACUUGUUGAAGAAAGAGGGGAUGCCUUUCGGGGCAUCCCCAAGCUUAGACGCUUGAGUCUCCUUCAAUAUUUACUUGGGGUGCCUUGGGCAUCCCCAAGCUUGAGCUCUUGCCUCUCUUCCUUUUCCUCAUAUCGAGACCUCCUCGAUCAAACACUUCAUCCACACAAAACUUCAACAGAAAACUCGGUAAUAUCCGUUAGUAUAAUAAAGCAAAUCACUACUCUAAGUGCUGUUGCAAACCAAUUAAUAUUUUGUUUUUGCAUUGUAUCUACUGUAAUAUAGCUUUUCCAUGGCUUAAUCCACUGAUAGAAAUUUAUAGUUUCAUCAAAACAAGCAAACUAUGCAUCAAAAACAGAAUCUGUCAAAAAUAGGACAGUCUGUAGCAAUCUGAACAUUCACCAUAUUUCUUGUACCCCAAAACUUCUACCAAAAUUAGGAAAAAUAAAAAAUUAGUAUAUAAAUAGAGUUAAAAAAGAAUCAGAACCAUUUGGCGUUCCAGUAAAAAAUAUAAAAUGGCGCACUACAGCCAAAGUUUCUGUCCAGCACCGCACAAACCAACAAGCAUUGUAAACAUCCUAAAGGUAAACCUUGGCACAUUAUUUUUAUAAUAAAAUGGAAUUGUACAAGGGUAUAAUUAUUUUUGAUGAAAAGUUUCUGUAAUUAAGAUUCACAAAGUUUCCGUGAGCAUCAACAAAGUUCAAGGAGCUCUCCCAGUUCAACAAUGCUUGUCUCUCUCACUUUCACUUUUCUUUUUGAAAAGUUUUGGGUUCCCCUCUUUAUUCUUUUAUUUUUAGACUAUAUGAAAGCACUCAACAGAAAUAAAUGACUCUCUAAAACUUCCGCAUUUUCUCCCUGGCAGCGCUUUCUUUAAAGCCAUUAAGCUAGGCAUAUAGUGCUCAAGUAAUGAAUCCACCCGGAUCCCAAGGUAUAUCAAAGUCAAUUUUAAUUAACAAUGAUUUGUAAUUUAGUAGUGAGCACAAAGUAACAUAUAUCAAGGAACAACGGAGUCUGACUCUCUUCCUAUGCAUCGGCAUGUCAUAAAAGAACAAUUCAUGCACACAUAGUAAAGGCCAAUGCAUAGUAUAAAUAGUUUCUUGCAAUUUUAUCAUAUUGGUAACAUAGAGAGGUGGUGAUAUAGUUACUCUCUCAUAAUAAUUGCAAGUAGGAGCAGCAAGCACCUGCAUAUUACAUUCAUCAAAAUUAACAUGUGCAAUGGUAAAAGGCAACCCAUCAAUAUAAUCCUUAAUAAGCACAAACUUCUCUGAUAUAGUGUAGUUGGGAGAAUUCAAAAAGAUAAUAGGACUAUCAUGCGUGGGUGCAAUAGCAAAAAUAUCAUGUUUAACAUAAGGAACUAUAGCAAGUUCAUCUCCAUAAGCAUAAUUCAUAUUGUCGUCUUGGCCAGAAGCAUAUCAAGCAUCAUCAAAAAGGGGUAUUUCAAGAGAAUCAACGGGAUCAUAACAAUCAUCAUAGCAAUCAUCCUUCGGUAAGCACGAAGGGGAAUUAAACAAUGUAUGAGUUGAAGAGUUACUCUCAUUAGAAGGUGGGCACAUGUAGCUAAUCCACUCUUCCUCCUUUUGUUCUUCGCUCUCCUCAUCAUCUUUUGCAUCCAAUGAGCUCACAGUUUCAUCAAUUUCUUCUUCCAUAGACUCCUGCAAAAUAUUAGUCUCUUCUUGGACAUCGUAGACUUUCUCAAUAAAUGCAUCAAUAUUGGCAUUGUAUUCAUAAUUCUCAUAGCAAUAUUUAAGUAUAGAAAAAUUUCAUGGUCUGUAAACAACAUCAUCAAGAUUUUCACACUCUUCAAACAAAGAUUCAAUUUCAUAAGCACCCAUAAAAGCAACGAAUUCUUCUAUUUGUUCCAUAUCGUAGUAAUCAUAUAUACCAUUAGCAUAAGAAGACAAGGUUUUAUUAUCAUUAAAUUUGCAUGAAAAGGGAAGGUUUGGAGCCUUCAUCCUAGAGCAACAAGUAUAAUCAUAUCUCAAGCAUAGUUGCCUAGCAUACCAAUGCAACAUAUGAAUUUGAUCCCAUAAUAGUUUCCCUUUUUGUGUCAUGUGAUAAUCCCUAAACUAUUCACGUUGAUCCAACAUGUCUCCCAUAACAUAAUUGAAUGGGGUUUUCUCAGGAUUAUCAAAGUAGUACAUAAUAUCUUUCACAUAAUGAGCAUCAAGGGUUUUAGGAGGUUCCCCAUUGAGUACCAAGUACACCUAAUUUUUUUGGUAUUUCGCGUUCCAUAUCCAUAACUAAAGGUAGAGAACAACUUAGAACGGCAAAUAAAAAUUACUUAGUGAUAAAGCAAACAAGCACACACGAGAAUAUUCACCCCACGCUAUGAUUCCCUGGCAAUGGCGCUAGAAAAAGGUCUUGAUAACCCACAAGUAUAGUGGAUCAACUGUAGCCUCUUUCGAUAAGUAAGAGUGUCGAACCCAAUGAGGAGCUAAAGGUAGGACAAAUAUUCCCUCAAGUUCUAUCGACCACCGAUACAACUCUACGCACUCUUAACGUUUGCUUUACCUAAAACAAGUAUGAAACUAGAAGGACUUUGUAGGUGUUUUUGGAUAGAAUUGCAAGAUAAUAAAAGGCACGCAAAUAAAAAGUAGGGGCUGUUUAGAUAAAGAAGCAAUAAGUAAAUAUAGCGACUGUGGAAAAGUGGUGGUAGGAGUUGUGAAAUUGUCCAUUAGCAAUUGACUACUUUACUAGACCGACAGCAAGUUUUAUGUGGGAGAGGCAUAAACUAACAUACUUUCUCUUAUUGGAUCAUAUGCACUUAUGAUUGGAACUCUAGCAAGCAUCCGCAACUACUAAAGAUCAUUAAGGUAAAACCCAACCAUAGCAUUAAAGCAUCAAGUCCCCUUUAUCCCAUACACCACAACCCCCUUACUCGGGUUUAUGCUUCUGUCACUCAAGCAACCCACUAUAAGCGAAUCAUGAACAUAUUGCAACACCCCACAACAGGAACCCCUCGCUUGCGCGACAUGCAGGGCACAAUUGGACAACAACAUAACCACAAGCAAAUUAAAUCAAUCAUAGAAAUUCACUAAUCACCGAUAGGACAAUGAAAAUCUACUCAGACAUCAUAGGAUGGCAACACAUCAUUGGAUAAUAAUAUGAAGCAUAAAGUACCAUGUUCAAGUAGAGGGUAUAGCGGGUUGCGGGAGAGUGGACCGCUGAAUAUAGAUGGGGGAAGGUGAUGGAGAUGUUGGUGAAGAUGGCAAAGGUGUUGGGGAAGAUCGCGGUGAUGAUGAUGGCCCCCAGCGGAGCUCCGUCGCCACCGGAAGAGAGGGGGAGAGAGCCACCUUAUUCUUCUUCUUCCUUGACCUUCUCCCUACAUGGGAGAAGGGUUUCUCCUCUGGUCCAUGUUCUCUCUGGCAUGGGAGGGGCGAGAGCCCCUCCGAUAUUGGAUUUGUCUCUCUUUCUCUCUCUGUUUCUGUGUUUGCUGAUUUUGCCCUUUCGUCGUUUCUUAUAUAUCCGAAGAUCCGUAACUCCGAUUGGAUUGAAAUCUUCGCCCAGAUUUUUCUCCGAAAAUUAGCUUUCUCGCAGAAAAGUAGAGUAUCAACUGCCUUACGGGGUGCCCACAAGGGUCAGGGGCGCGCCUGCCCCAUGGGCGCGCCCCUGCCUCGUGGUCCCCUCAGGCACCGUCUCGCGUUGGGUUUUCUUCCCAAAAAUCAUAAAUAUUCCAAAAAUGAUCUCCAUCCAUUUUUAUCCCGUUUGGACUCCGUUUGAUUUGGGGUUUCUACGAAACAUAAAACAUACAACAAACAGGAACUAGCACUGGGCACUAGAUUAAUAUGUUAGUCCCAAAAAUAGUAUAAAAUGUUGCCAAAAGUAUAUGAAAGUUGAAUAAUAUUAGCAUGGAACAAUCAAAAAUUAUAGAUAUGACGAAGACGUAUCAAGAUGCCAGUCAAAGUCCAAGCCACCAGAAAUUGUUUGGAGAAGCUAAAAGUAAAGUUAUCUCUACCCGUCUCAAGCAAUGCAAUAAAAUCUAGUUUGUGUUCUUUAGAAGUUUCCACCAAAAAUCUACAUUUAGCAUCUCAUUUUUCAUCGUGAAAUUUCCUUUGAAUUUUAUUCUCGCACAUUGACGCACCACAGAGAGUGGCUAGACAUUCCUCCACAUGUGUUUCGGCUUAUCUAGCAGUGUCUCUGAGUCUGCAUGACCGAGAUCAUUGCCUAAGCUCUCAUUUGGUCAUAGAGGUGCAACAUGCUCAUCUGCAUCCAAAGCUUCCCCUUGCAGAACACUAGAUGGCACUAGAUCCUCACAUAGACAUUCUAAUGCCCGAACACCAAGUGUAUUUACAUUAGUUUCUUUUAUUGGUUUAACAACAACAAUAUUUCUGAGCAUUUGCAUGGCUCUGUCUGCCUCAAGAUCAAGCAAGUCAUUAACAAACCUAACUAUCUCCCACCUAUUUGUCCCGAGAGAGACCCCUAUUAUCAACAUUACUAACAAUUUCAUCAUCAGAAAAAUGUAAUACUAAAAAAUUGGUGUUCACAGACAUACUUGUAGUGGCUUUGAUAUCUCCAAGCUUGGCUUCUCGCAUAGCAUGCCCCAUUUGCAAGUCAUUCAUGUCCGGCUGGUCCUAAAUCCAUUGACUCACCCGCUUAUCACCGUGCAUUACUUCUGGGAUCCAUCCAAAAGCUAUGACAUCCUCCACAGAAUAACCAGUUAUGGAACGACCUCUUGCCAGGUUCGAGGCGGUAUCGCAGGGCUGGACUUGACAGUCCACAACCGGGACCGUGAGGCUUGUGGUGAAGUAGUAGGUAGAGUCAAGGCCCCCCGCCUCGGGCUCCCACCGAAGACUGUUGUCGGUAGAGCAUCCGGGCUCACAUGAGACGAAGAAGGGGACAAAGUGGAGGCCGCCUACCUCAGGCUACUGAAACGCCUCCAAUGUAUGUAUUAUUUUUAUUGUUUCAUGCUAUUAUAUUAUCAAUCUUGGAUGCUUUAUAUGCAUUUUUAUCCUAUUUUAUGUCAUUUUUGGGACUAACCUAUUAACCCAGUGCCCAGUGCUAGUUCUUGUUUUUUUGCUUAUUUCUCGCUUUUCAGAAAAUCAAUACCAAACGAAGUCCAAACAUGAUGUAACUUUACGAUGAUUUUUUCUGGACUAGAAGGGACCCUAGAAAGUUCAGGAAGAGGCCAGAAGAGCUACGGGAGAGUCAUGAGAUCACAGGGCACGCCCUGGGAGUAGGGCGAUCCCUCUGAGCUCGUGGGACCAUGACAACUCCGUUUGACCUAAUUCCACCUCUAUAAAUUCCCAAAUAUUCCAAAACUAAUAGAGACCCACACGAAACACUUUUACUGCCGCUGCAAGCUUCUGUUCUUCCGUGAUCCCAUAUGGAGGCAUUUUCCGGCACUCUGCUGGACGGGAGAAUCGAUCAUGGAGGGCUUCUACAUCAUCCUUGCUGCUUUUCGAUGAUGCAUGAGUAGUUCACCACAGACCUACGGGUCCAUAGCUAAUAGCUACAUGGCUUCUUCUCUCUCUUUGAUCUUCAAUACAAUGUUCUCCUCAAUCUUCUUGGAGUUCUAUCCGAUGUAAGCUUCUUUUGCGGUGUGUUUGUUGGGACCUAAUGAAUUAUGGGUUUAUGAUCAGAUUAUUCAUUGGAACUAACUGAGUCGUUACUAAAAUUUAUUAUGCAUGAUUGUUAUAGCUUUGUAUUUCUCUCCGAUCUAUCCAUUUGGUUUGGCCAACCAAAUUGAGUUAUCUUUAGUGGAGGAGGUGCUUUGUAAUGGGUUCAAUCUUGUAGUGUCCUCACCUAGUGACAAAAGGGGCAGCGGCUUACGUAUAGUGUUGUUGCCAUUAAGGGUAAAAUGACGGGGUUUAAUCAUAUUGCUUGAGUUUACUUUGUCUACAUCAUGUCCUCUUGCUUAAGGCAUUACUUUGUUUUUCAUGAAAUUAAUACCAUAGAUGCAUGUUGCAUAAUGGUCAAUUGGUGGAGUAAUAGUAGAAGAUUCUGGCUGGAGUUAGUCUACUUGUCACAGACGUGAUGCCCAUAUAUAAGAUCAUUGCCAUGAAUACAUCAUACCUACGCGUUUUUGUAUCAAUUGCCCAACAAUAAUGUGUUUACCCACCGUAUGCUAUGUAACCGAGAGAGAAUCCUGUAGUGAAAACUAUGGCCCCUGGGUCUAGUUUAAUCAUAUUAUUAAAACCAAAAAUACCUUGCUGCAAUUUUAUACUUUUUAUUUUACUUUUAUUUUUAUCUAUCUAUCACUAUUAGAAUAAAUCCUUGCAAAUAAAGAUGUUCAAGGGGAUUGACAACCCUAUUACCUGCGUUGGAUGCAAGUAUUUGCUUUUGUGUGUGUAGGUGUUGUAGAAGGGAAUUUGCGUGGAAAACAUGGUUGACUUACUUAUCCCUAUUGUACUUCUUCACCCUUCUCUUUGGGAAAAAUACCAACAUAGUUUAAAAGUAGCAGCUACCUCCCAUUACCGGCAUCAAGGGGGAGGUUGGCUCUAUCACCUCUGAGGUUGUCGCCAUACAAAACGGCGACAUCACUGAGGAUAGCAGAGGAGGCUCCUGCUUCACUGGAUCUCCAGUCUCAGCCUAGUCCCCUAGAGGAGGCUAGGUGUCAAAGCCACCCGAAAGGAACCGAACCGAAGCCCCGCCAUGGGCAUCGAAGUAGGUGUAACCCCCUUUUUCACAGGGGCACCCACAAUCUGAUUAGGCUGUCCGGUGGACUUAGCAAUGUCCUCAUGCUUGUUGUGGUCCAAGGUGUCGUCCUACUGCCCAUCUCCUCCCUCAGUCAUCUCAUCAUUAGUGCCUUUAGAGCAUCUCCAAUAGAUAAUGUAGAUGUAUAAAUAACUACCUUUUACAUCACCAAGGCCUAAAAAACACUGCUCCACAGAUGAUGUAGGUGUAUAAAUUUUCACAUCGCCUGCUCCAAGUGAUGUAAAAUACAACAUUUCGUGAUGCAAAUUCACAUCACCAACCGCCAGUGAUGUAAACCCUGAUGCAAAACGGCCAGCAGCGCGCCAACCCUACCGCCACCAUGAAAUUCCCAACCAUUGAUCACCUUUUCGCGGCCGUCUUAGCCGGCUGACUCCGGCUAGAUCCGGCACCUCCCUUCCACCCUGGCAUGCUCCGGUUCCUCGCCCUACCACUGGGCUGCCAUGGUCGCCUCCUCCUACCCCACGGUCGUCGCCACCGCUCCCAUGCUCGUCAUCCCAUGGUGGUGCAGCCAGGGAUCCUCGAGGUACGCCUGCUCGAGUUGGUUGCUAAUAGUCUCCAACGUAACUAUAGUUUUUGAUUGUUUCAUGCUAUUAUAUUAUCAAUCUUGUAUGCUUUUUAUAUCAUUUUAUAUUAUUUUUAUGGACUAACCUAUUAACCUAGUGCCCAGUGCGAGCUCCUGUUUUCCGCAUGUUUUUCGUUUUCCGGAAAAUCAAUACCAAACGUAGUCCCAACAUGAUGGAAUAUUUUGACGAUCUUUACCCGACAAAAAGAGACCCAUGAAGCUUCACAAGGAGGACAUAAGACAUACAGGGGAGACACAAGGCAAGGGCACGCCUUGGUGCCUUGUGGCUCACUCAUUGCUCCAUUUGACCUAAUUCCAACGCUAUAAAUUCCCAUAUAUUCAGAAACCACUAGGAGGUUCCGAAACAAUUCUUCUGCCGCCGCAAGCCUCUGUUCUUCCGCGAUCUAAUUUGGAAACCUUUUCCGGUACUCUACCAAAGUGGGAAACCAUUGGGGAGGCAAUCUUCAUCAACCUUGUUGCCUCCAUAAUGAUGUGUGAGUAGUUCCCAUAGGAACUACGCGUACAUAGCAAUAACCAGAUUGCUCUCUCUCCAUUUAUCUCCCUCACUCUUUUGAUCUUCAAUACAAUGAUCUCGUCUAAGAUCAGUCUGUUGUAAAAUUUUGUGGUGUGUUUGUUGGGAUCCAAUGAAUUGUGUGUUUAUGAUGAGAUUAUUCAUUGAAAGUAAUUGAGUCUUUUCAGAGAUUUAUUGUGUGUGAUUCUAUAGUCUUGUAUUUCUCUCUGAUCUAUCAUUCUCUUUUGGCCAAUGUCGGAUAUCGUGUUCUGGCAAACCCUUAAGGUUCGAACUCUGGGGUGCGCAUGAAGAUUUCCUCCUACCGAUUCACACCCUCAGCCUCACCGCGAUCCCUAAACUAGAUCGAUGAACUCACAGCACAAGAGACACAAGGUUUAUACUGGUUCGGGCCACCGUUGUGGUGUAAUACCCUACUCCAGUGUGUGGUGGUGGUGGAUUGCCUCUUGGGCUAAUGAUCAACAGUACAAGGGAAGAACAGCCUCGCGAGGCAAGGUGUUCUUGUGCUUGGUGGGUGGUUCUGCUUAAGGUGGGAUUCAAUCUCAUCGGCCGGGGUCCCUGCCUUGGUGGUGGCUAGCCCUAUUUAUAGAGGCCAUGGCCCUCUUCCCAAAUAUUGAGUGGGAAGGGAUCCAAGAACGGCCAUUUCGAAAGGGGACAACUAGUACAAGUUAUCCUAACUAAAGGUGGUCUUCGCCGGCCAAAGGCUCUGGUGAUGACGCCGUCUUGGGCUCCACGGUGACCUCCAUCCUGCCGUCCUGCUGGUCUUGGUCUCGUUGCACCGAUAUGGAAACCUUUGCCUGAUGCCUCGGUACCCCGUGCCUACGCUUGCCCCCUUUGCACCAAAGAGGAAACGAGGACACUGCGCGAGCAGGUGCCCGCCUGGCGCCUGCCUGGCCUUGAUCGUCAUGGCUUGCAUCAUGUGCACCUCGCGAGGUACCCCUUGCUUUGACCUCUCUGCCUCCUUGUGAGACUACCUGGCGAGGCCACUCCUGGGGAGGCCUUGUGUCAUCCGCCCCGCGAGGCUUGGCCCCUCGCGAGGGUCUUGAGUGCUUUGGUUGAUGAAUAUGGGCCGUACCGGGCCACUGGUUGAGCCACGCUGCGGGCCGUAGGCAGGAAAGUCUGGGGACCCCCGUUCCAAGAACGCCGACAGUAGCCCCCGGGCCCAAGGCGCGCUCGGACUUGGCUUAGCAGCAAAGCCAAAGGCAAGUGCGGAGCACCGCGGGCACCAACAGCCUGCGGCCUUGGAUGACGUGUGGCGACUGAUUGGACGUGGGCGUCUCCGCUUCCCCACGCUGUCCCGAUAUCUGCCUGGCUAGGCAGCCACGACGCCUUACAUAGUUAUUUCCUCCCUGCUGGCAGUGUGCUACCUAUUCCCCCUUUUUCCACGAGUGUCUGCUUCCGCUCCCAGUCUGACUUGAGCUCUACUCUCCCCAUUGCCAUGGCGCCAAAUAGCAAAGAGAAAGGGAAGAAGCCUCUGCCCUCAACCAAUUCGCCCCUUCAAUCGAGCCCGCCGUCGGCCGAUCUCUAGUGCUCAAUCUGGACGGCAUGAGCAAGGUCUGUCCUGCGCUCGCCUCCAGCUUCAACGAGUGUGGAAAGAGGAUGGCUUGGCCCGCGUCCCAUGCCUCCAUUGACAGGACUGCCACUCAGGUUCGGUUCUUCGUUGACGCCCUGUGGGCUGGCCUGGUUCCCCCUUUCUCUGCAUUCUUCAAUGCAGCGCUUUCCCAUUAUCAGAUCCAUAUGAUGCAUCUUGAUCCCCAAUCUGUUACCCUUCUCGCCGUCUUCACCUUUGUUUGCAAAGCCAUGGUGGGCAUUACUCCUUCCGUCGCCCUCCUGAGCCACUUCUUCUCGCUGCACCUGACCGAUCCCUUGAAGUGCUUGGGGUGCGUGAGGUUCCAGGCCGUGGCAGAGACGACUGCCUUGGGGAUUGAUUUUGACCUCCCGUCGUCCAUGAGCGGGUUCCGAACGCGGUGGUUGUAUGUGGAUGUCGGAGUACUCAGCCCUUUGCUAUCUCAUCUGUUGUUGCCCGCUUGGCCUGGUAGGGCGUCGUGAGAAUCCUGUCCCCGCGGCUCCCUUCCUUGCCGCCAGCAUAGAUCUUGCCCCAAGAGUGGGCACAGGGGUGCAAGCAUCGCUCGAGGCUGGAGGCGCGGGUGCCGUGGCGCCGACGCCGCAUGGGGCUCCUAAAGCAUCAUCCUCCGAAGCUCGUGGAGCCUGCCUUGAGGCGGCCGUCGAUGGGGGGACGUAGCCCAUGGCUCCCGAGGCCGAGGCUCCUGAGGCCUUGGUGGGCCACCCGGGGUGGUGUUUGAUUGCCGCUCCCAGCUUGGUGUCCCUGAGGUUGGCCGCCUGGGCGCUUCUCCAUCUGCGCCGCAUGCUCGCCCUCACUUUGAGCGCCUGGGUCGGUUCCGCGUGGACUUCGCCGCAUUCCGCAAGAGGAAGGAGUCUUCGAGUUGAAGUGGUCACACCUUCCGACCAUUGAAGCAUAGGAAGUACUUCGCCAUGGAUGAGUAAGUACCUCAUCCUUGUAAUUCUUCAAUUUCUGCUCCCUUUCUUGAUUGUGACUCUUCAGGAUCCCUCCUGUCAAGCCUGCGGAGUCUCCCGAGAAGCGACCUUCUCCGGCCUUGCCUUCAUCGCUGGCCUUGAGGGCCCCGAGCCUGCAUGCUGCCCCUGAUGCGGGGUCAGCCUAAGAAGCACGUCUGCCCACAAGGUAUCUUGAGCCCGUGCCCUUGUCGCCUUUCCUUUGCGACCCUACCUGGAGCAUGGCCAGCCUACCCAGGGCUCCUCCUUUGGUCAUGGAUGGCAGCUAGUUGGCAUCCGCCCUGGGCUCCUCUUCAAGGGGUGAGCUUGCGCCGGUCCGGGCCCCUUGCGAGGCCCGGCCAGCGAUCAUGGGGGCGCCAGCCCCCAACCCCCUGCCAAGAGGGGGUGAACCAUCUCUGGGCCCACCGACUACGCCAGCAAUGGAAGACGACAUCAGCAGCGUGCUCAAGCUCGCGCACGAACAAAGCAUUGUCCGCCACGAGUUCCUCCGGAAGGCGAUGGACGCGAUGGGCCCGCUUGGUGGAGAGCAUGCAGAUGUGGACGCACGCCUUGAUGCCGAGGGCCUGCGGCUGACUGAGGAACGACGGAAGCUAAAGUUGGUCAUCAAUCUCGCCGCCACCAACGCAAGCUUGAUAACGCGAAGGCAGAGGCGUCCCUUGAGGCCUUGCGAGAGGCUUCUCCUGAGCUCUAGAGGAGGCUCGGGAAGCAGAUUUUCAUCGUGAGAUCGCAAAAAAAUGCGUGUGGGAGCUCCAAGUCUGGAGCGCUUCCCUGGAACAGCAAGUGGAGCUGCGCCAGGCCGCCGUUGCAUCACCGAAGGGGACGCCUAUCGAGGAGGAGGAGCUCUAGAGGCAUGGGGAAGCGCUGACGCUGGAGGCCGCUGAGCGCAAUUUUGAUCUUGAGCGGUUGGAGACGAGGGAGCGCCUGGUUACCCAGGCGGAGGACGAUGUUGGCGCGCGCAAGGCUCGAGUCCAGGAAGAGGUCAAUCGUCGCACGGUGGAGGCUCGCGCAGAUCUUCUGGGCAGGUACAACCUGAAGCUGAAGCUGGUCGAAGCCGAGGUUGCGAGAAGGACUGCCGCCCUUAGGUCCAGGCUUGCUGAAAUGGAGCGAUGCGUGGAAGUUGCUGAAGCCGCCUUGAUCUUGGUGUAGGCUGAGCUAGCCUCCGCCCGUGCCGAGCUGCUUCUUCUUCAACGAUGGUUUGACGACGCUGAGUCCGUUGCGCGGCAGAAUAGAGAGGAAGUGCUUCAACGACAGACGCUGGAGCACAUGCAUGGCCCCAUGCUACAAGAACUCAGGAACAGGGCCAACGCAGCCCUGGGCCACAUCUGCGAGGAGGACGCCCCGCAUCCUCACGUGACCAAUUACGCCAGUCACCUCUGCUUCUUCACUAAUGUGGUGACGCGUCUGGAGAACCGCUCCGAGAGAGCUCGCCAACUCGUCGAAGAGAGGAGCCGCAGCCUGCUUGGCUGUGCAUUCUCCCGCGUCUUCAGCCAUCUUCUAAACGCCGAUCCUCACUUCGACUUUGACGCCAUCAUCGCCCCGAUGCCUGAGGCCAUCCGGGGUGACUUGGCGCGGUGGGUGGAGGACAACGUUGAUGCGCUUGUUAGGGCCUUUGCUUCCGACAACGACGGGGUGGUAGUCACGAUGGAUGGUGGUGAAGUGGUCAAUGGUGGCGACCAUGGCGCUGGUGAUGGUAACGGUGAUGCCAGCGACAGUGACAGUGGUGCCAGCGAUGCGUCUGGAGACGACCAGGAGGGUGCGGUGAGCGAUAUGUCUGACUAAUCCCGCGUUUCUCUGAUGUUUACGCUGCAUACAAAAACUCAGGCACUUCCCGAAAGGUUGUAAGAGCAUUUUGGGAGGGGGAGCCCCUCAUGUAAAAACAUUUUCGUGUGUAUGUUUUUAGGAAUGAUGAUGAACAUGUUCCUCCAUGAUCCUACGGGCCCUGAGGCGAGCUUGUGUUUAUGGUUUACCUCUAGCCAGGAUGAGUCCUGAAUGGGCUCGCGAGGCCGUGAGCCUCUGAGGGUCCUAUGAGGGGCCUGUUGACCAGGUUGUGAGAGCCUCGCGAGAGCGUGUGCUGGCCUUGGGACAGCAUGCACGCAGCGCGCGUGCGCUUCACCCCGCCUCGUCCGUGAGAGGCUCGCGAGGGAGAGGCAACUAGUGCGAACUCCAAACCAGGGCAGAAACCAGAACACAAGAAAUCACACGAGAAAGACAAAACACCCCCCCCCCCCUCGCACACGCAAAUACAAACUCAAUUUCAACUUAAAUCUGAAGCAAGGAAUCUCAACCACGGAAAGGACGGCAAAAAGCAAAAGGCCGCGUUCGGCACCUAGUCCAGUCUUCGAGGUCUUCUCACCAGCGUGGAGCUCAGUGCUGCCACUAGGCGUGGGAGAGAGCCCCUGAGGCCCAAGGGUGGCUCUCCGAAGACUCCGGGGCAUGUACAACCCCAACUCAUUAUUACGUGAGAGUGUCACGGGCGCCGAGGUUCACAGGUAUUGGGCAUUCUUCAUAGGCACCGGGCUUUGCUUCAUAUCGCCAGACGAGGGCCCCGCCUUGCGUCACCCUCGACCACCAUUGACGGAGGCCGGAGACCAAGGACGACGCCAAUGGGGCAAAGGGGACGCCAGCGGUUCCCUCAGCGACCACGGGUCCUCUGUCGGGGGUAGGCUUUGUAGCACCUCCCCUGCAGAGGGCCUACCUUCGGGGAAUGACUUGCUCCGUGCCCCGUGGGGAGGGCACUGGCUCCCGGCUCCUCUCCUAUAGCCCAGUGCGCUCCUCCUGGUGGGAGGGAGGCUGUUGAGCUGGGGCAGCCUUCCGCUGCAGCGACCUGAACUUCCUGCGACCCAUGGUUAGCAUAAGCUUGCUCUUGAGGAAUUAGCGGUACCCGGUAGCUGCUGCUGCCUGUGUGGUUGGUGAGGCUUCCUUGAGGCUCCUGAGAAGGCUCAGCCUCUGGCAUCUCCUCCUCCCAGCCUGAUCCAAGGAACGAGCCAGGGUCAUCUUCCAGCGCGUACUCCCGAUCCACCAUGCGGGGCACGUAAGCCUCCGAGGUCGCCGCCUCGAAGACCUCGCCGUACUGCCCCACGCUCCAUGUGGCCUGUCCCAAUGCACCGUCUUGAGGAUGGUAGGGCAGCGGUCCGCCCGGGCCAUAGGCGGCGAUGUGUAGGUCCUCACUCAUCGGAGGUGGUGCUGGUGUAGCUUGACGCCCGGCGCUGAUGGCUGAGCUGGUGUGGAUGAAGCCUUGGGGUGCGCCUGAAGGCGCGCAGGCGUGAAGAGGUACGCUGUGCAGUCCGGCUGGGGCUUGGGGUGGAAGCUGGAAAUAGAAGGGUGGUGCCCCCGAGGCUGCGGCAUCCAGUAGCUCAGCAACGCGCUCCAGGAACACCUCUCGGCCGCCCUCCUGCAACCUGCACCGCAGCAGCUCCCGAGCCACAGUGAGGGCGGCCUUCAUGUUCGCUUGCUCCCGCCGGGUGUGCGUCGCAAUGGCCGCGGCGUGGCUUGAGGCCCUCGCGGUAGAUCUCAGCUGCCGCGAGGUAAGGGCGGGCAGCGCUUGACUGCGUCGCCCGCGCCCUGCACCAUUUUGCGGUGCGCGGGCUGCCUGUGGUGCGGGAUCGAGGUCACCUUGGGAUGACGGCAUGGCACGGGCUAGCCAUGCCGCCCAGUGGUCGGCGUUAGUUGUCGGGCCACCGGACAUGGAUGCAACAAAAGCGGUAGAAUGCGGAUCGGCGGAAGAAAGAUUCCGGCACACCCCUACCUGGCACGCCAAAUGUCGGAUAUCGGGUUCCGGAAAAACCCUUAAGGUUCGAACUCUACGGUGCACACGAAUAUUUCCUCGUGCCGAUUCAUGCCCUCAGCCUCACCGCGAUCCCUAAACUAGAUCGAUGAACUCACAGCACAAGAGACACAAGGUUUAUACUGGUUCGGGCCAUCGUUGUGGUGUAAUACCCGACUCCAGUGUGUGGUGCUGGUGGAUUGCCUCUUGGGCUAAUGAUCUAAAGUACAAGGGAAGAACAGCCUCGCGAGGCAAGGUGUUCUUGUGCUUGGUGGGUUGUUCUACUUAAGGUGGGAUUCGAUCUCAUCGGCCGGGGUCCCUGCCUUGGUGGUGGCUAGCCCUAUUUAUAGAGUCCUUGGUCCUCUUCCCAAAUAUUGAGUGGGAAGGGAUCCAACAACGGCCAUUUCGAAAGGGGACAACUAGUACAAGUUAUCCUGACUAAAGGUGGUCUUCGCCUGCCAAAGGCUCUGGUGAUGACACCGUCUUGGGCUCCAUGGUGCCCACCGUCCUGCUGGUCUUGGUCUCGUUGCACCGAUAUGUAAACCUUUGCCUAAUGCCUCAGUACCCCACACCUGCGCUUGCCCCCUUUGCACCAAAGAGGAAACGAGGACACUGCGUGGGCAGGCGCCCGGCUGGCGCCCGCCUGGCCUUGAUCGUCAUGGCUUGAGUCAUGGGCACCUCGCGAGGUACCCCUUGCCUUGAUCUCUCCACCUCCUCGUGAGCCUGCCUGGCGAGGCCACUCCUGGGGAGGCCUUGUGCCGUCCGCCCCGCGAGGUUUGGCCCCUCGCGAGGGUCUUGAGUGCUUUGGUUGAGGAAGAUAGGUCGUACUGGGCCACUAGUUGAGCCAUGCUGCGGGCCGCAGGCAGGCAAGUCUGGGAACCCCCGUUCCCAGAACACCGACAGCCAAUUAGAUCGAUUCAUGUUUAGUGGGAGAGGUUCUUCGUAGUAGGUUCAAUCUUGUGAUGUCUUUAACCUAUGACAUGAAGAGUUGUGUAGGAUCAAAAGUAUGUCUAGAGGGGGUGAUUAGACAACUUGACCAAAUAAAACCUAAUCUUUUACCAAUUUUAGUUGUGUGCAGAUUUUAGCAAUUAUGGCAAGUCAAGCAACACCCUACACAUGCAAUUAUAAGAGUAUAGUAGCAUAAAGUAAGACAUUGCAAAUGUAAUUAAAUGAGGGGGUUGGAGAAGGCAAAUGCAAUGGGACACAGUGAUUUUUUGCGUGGCUCUGAUAGGUGGUGCUAUCGUACGUCCACGUUGAUGGAGACUUCAACCCACGAAGGGUAACGACUGCACCAAUCCACGGAGGGCUCCACCCAUGAAGGGUCCACUAAGAAGCAGCCUUGUCUAUCCCACCAUGGCCAUCGUCCAUGAAGGACUUGCCUCACUCAGUAUAUAUUCACGAAGUAGGCAAUCUCCUAUCCCUUACAAUCUUCUUGGUUCAACUCCACAUAAUGUCGGAGGCUCCCAAGCGACACCUAAACAAUCAAGGAGACACCACUCUCCAAAAGGUAAUAGACGCUGUGAUGCUGAUGAACUCCUUGCUCUUGUUCUUCAAAUUAUAGAUUCCCCAAAAAUCAACUCUUUCUCAUAGAUUUGGCUAUGGUGGAAGAAGGAUUUGAGUGGAAAGCAACUUAGGGAAGCCUAGAAGUCAACGUUCAAAUGGUAGGAAUGGAAUCUCUUGAUCUCAACACAUGAGUAGCUGGUUGUCUCUCAGAAAAUAAGUAGUGGAAGUGUAGGCACGUUAUGAUGGCUCUCUCUACUGAGGAAGAGGGGGUGGAGGGGCAUAUAUAUAGCAUCCAUACAAAAUCCAAAAAUUACACACUUUUGACUCAACUCGGUGGCACCAAUCAGAAUCUCGGUGGCACCGACCUGUGUAAAAGAUAUGAACGUUGGAGGUCUCGGUGGGACCGAUUGCAAACAUCUCGGAUGGACCGAUGUGCAAUGGUAAAGGCAAAUUUCAUUUCGGUGGCACCGAUUGCAUCAACUCGGUAGGACCGAAGUGAAGCAAUAAGGCAACAAAAUGUUGGCAACCAAUCUCGGUGCCACCAAUUGCAUCAUCUCGGUAGGACCAAAAUAUUUGCAAUAGAUGCCAGAGAGUUGGCAAGGCCAUCUCGGUGAGACUGAGAUCCAUAUCGUUGGAUCCGAUUUGUUAGGGUUUGGAAGUGGUAGUGUCGAGAUGAACUCGGUAGGUCGAGAUAGGUAUAUUUCGGUGGGACCGAGUUGGAUUUGCAGGGUUUUGGAUAGAAAAAGUGGUUGAUGGUUUUGGAGAAAUAUCACUAAGCACUUGAGCAAUGAUACGUCCAUUUUGCAUCAUGUUUACGUACUAUUAUUUAUGUUGUUUUAUUGUAUAAUAAUGCUUUUUGGAGUAAUUCUAAUACCUUUUCUCUCAUAAUAUGCAAGGUAUGCAAAAAGGGGGAGAAUUCCGGCAGCUGGAAAUCUGGACCUGAAAAGGCUACGUCAGGUGACUAUUCUACACAACUCCAAAUGAGUUGAAACUUUACGAGGAUUUUUUAUGAAAUAUUUGAGGAAUAUUGGAGGAAAUAAGUACCAAAGGGGACCCACCAGGUGGGCACAACCCACCUGGUUGCACCAGGGAGCCCAGACACUCCUUGGUGGGUUGUGCUCACCCAGGCCCACCUCCGGUGCCCCUCUUCUGGUAUAUAAGUCAUUUUAACCUAUAAAAAAAAUAAGGAGAUGACUUCCGGGAUGAAGCGCCGCCAUGUCGAAGCGGAACCUGGCAGGAGCACUUUUGCCCUCUGGCGGAGCGAUUCCUCCGGGGGAACUUCCCUCCCAGAGGGGCAAAUCAUCGUCAUCAUCAACACCAAUAACUCUCCCAUCUCGGGGAGGGAUAUAUUCAUCAACAUCUUCAACAACACCAACUCCUCUCAAACCCUAGUUCAUCUGUUGUGUUCAAUCUUUGUACCAGAACUAUAGAUUGGUGCUUGUGGGUGACUAGUAGUGUUGAUUACAUCUUGUAGUUGGUUACUAUAUGGUUUAUUUGGAGGAAGAUUAUAUAUUCAGAUCCAUUAUGAUAUUUAAUACCCCUCUGAUCUUGAGCAUGAUUGUCAUUUGUGAGUAGUUACUUUUGUUCUUGAGGUCAGGGGAGAAAUCAUGUUGCAAGUAAUCAUGUGAACUUGAUAUGUGUUCGAUAUUUUGAUGAUUUGUAUGUUGUGAUUCCCUUAGUGGUGUCAUGUGAACGUCGACUACAUGACACUUUACCAUAUUUGGGCCUAAGGGAAUGCAUUGUAGAGUAGUUAUUAGAUGAUGGGUUGCAAGAGUGACAGACGCUUAAACCCUAGCUUAUGCGCUAUUUCGUAAGGGACCGAUUGGAUCCAAAAGUUUAAUGCUAUGGUCAGAAUUUAUUCUUAAUAUUUUUCUCGUAGUUGCGGAUGCUUGCGAGGGGUUAAUCAUAUGUAGGAGGUAAGUUCAAGUAAGAACAACACCCCUAAGCACCGGUCCACCCACAUACCAAAUUAUCAAAGUAGCGAACACGAAUUAAGCCAACAUGAUGAAAGUGACUAGAUGAAAUUCCCGUGUACCCUCAGAAACACUUUGCUUAUUAUAAGAGACCAUUUCGGCCUGUACUUUGUCUCAAAAGGAUUGGGCUACCUUUCUGCACUUUUGUUACUACUAUCAUUACUUGCUCGUUACAAAUUUUCUUGCUAUCAAACUACUCUGCUACUUACAAUUUUAGCACUUGCAGACAUUACCUUGCUGAAAACCACUUGUCAUUUCCUUCUGUUCCUCAUUGGGUUCUACACUCUUACCAAAAAGGCUACAAUAGACCCCAUAUACUUGUGGGUCAUCAAUUAUAUUUUCUGGCACCAUUGCCGGGGAGUGAAGCGCUUUUGGUAAGUGCAAAUUGGGAAAGAAACAUUACUACUACAUGCUGAAAUUUAUUGUCACUUGCUACUAUGGAAAACAAUCCUUUGAGGGGUUUGUCCAGGGUAUCUUCACCUUGAUCGGAACCACAAUUAGUUGCCCCUCAACCUACUGCACCUACUGAAAAUAUUGAAUAUGAAAUUCCUUCAAGUAUGGUAGAACAACUGCUAGCUCAUCCUUAUGGAGAUGGAACCGAACAUCCUGAUAUGCACUUGAUAUAUGUGGAUGACAUUUCUGGAUUGUUUAAGCUUGCAGGUUUACCCGAAGAUGAAGCUAAGAAGAAGGUUUUCCCUUUAUAUUUUAAAGGGGAAAGCAUGGACAUGGUAUAGGCUAUGCGAUGAUAUUGGAUCUUGGAGCUGGAAUCGGUUGAAAUUGGAAUUCUAUCAAAAAAAUUUAUCCUAUGCAUCUAGUUCAUCGUGAUCGCAAUUAUAUAUAUAAUUUUUGGCCUUGUGAAGGAGAAAGUAUCGCUCUAGCUUGGGGGAGGCUUAAGUCAAUGUUAUAUUCAUGCCACAAUCAUGAGCUCUCAAGAGAAAUUAUUAUUCAGAAUUUUUAUGCUCGGCUUUCUCGUAAUGAUCAAUCCAUGCUCGAUACUUUUUGUACGGAUUCUUUUAUGAAGAAGAAUAUUGAAUUCCGGUGGGAUCUUUUAGAAAGAAUUAAACGCAACUCUAAAGAUUGGGAACUCGACGAAGGUAAACAGUCAGGUAUUGAACCUAAGUUUGAUUGUGUUAAAUCUUUUAUGAAUACCGAUGCUUUUCAAAAGUUUAUCACUAAAUAUGGACUUGACUUUGAGAUAGUAGCUUCCUUUUGUGAAUCUUUUGCUACUCAUGUCGUUCUCCCUAAGGAGAAGUCGUUUAAAUAUCACGCACCUAUUAAAGAAGAAAUUAAAGAAACGAUAAAAGCUAAAGAAGAAACUAUCAUUUACAAUAUUGAUCCAGUUGUUCCCACUACUUAUAUUGAAAAGCCACCUUUCCCUGUUAGGAUGAAGAAACAUGCUAAAGUUUCAACUGUGGUUAACAAAAGUUACAUUAGAACACCCAAAACAGCUGAACAAAUCAGAGUUCAACCUAGUGUUGCUAUGAUUAAAGAUCUCUUGGUCGAUAAUAUCAACGGGCAUGUUAUUUGCUUCUGUGAUGAAGCUUCUAGAAUGUCCAAACCCGAUAAAAAAGAUAAACAUAGACCAGUUGUUGGCAUGCCUGUUGUCUCAGUCAAGAUAGGGGAUCAAUGUUAUCAUGUUUUAUGUGAUAUAGGUGCUAGUGUGAGUGCUAUUCCUUUUUCCUUAGAUGAAGAAAUUAAGAAUGAAAUAACACCUGUUGAAAUAGAAGACAUAGAUGUUACUAUUAAACUUGCCAAUAGAGAUACUAUAUCACCAAUUGGGAUUCUUAGAGAUGUUGAAGUCUUGUGUGGGAAAGUAAAAUACCCUACUGAUUUUCUUGUUCUUGGUUCGCCACAAGAUGAUUUUUGUCCCAUUAUUUUUGGUAGACCUUUCUUGAACUAUGUCAAUGCUAGAAUUUAUUGCGAGAAACAAACUGUCGAUGUUAGCUUUGGUGAUGAAUCUCGUGAAUUUAAUUUUUCCAAGUUUAGUAGAAAUCCUCAUAAGAAAGAUUUUCCUAGUAAGUAUGAAAUUACUGGUCUUGCUUCUAUUGUUGUACCUCCUACUGAUCCCUUAGAACAAUAUUUGCUAGACCAUGAAAAUGAUUUGCAUAUGCGUGAAAGAAAUGAAAUAGAUAGAAUCUUUUUCCAACAACAACCUCUGCUUAAACACAAUCUCCCUAUUGAAACUCUAGGAGGUCCUCCUCCACCAAAAGGUGAUCUUGUGUUUGAAUUAAAACAACUACGAGACACUUUGAAAUAUGCUUAUCUUGAUGAAAAAAGAUAUAUCAUGUUAUUAUUAGUGCUAACCUUUCAGAACAUGAAGAAGAAAGACUAUUGAAAGUUCUAAGGAAGCACCGAGCUGCUAUUGGAUAUACUCUUGAUGAUCUUAAGGGCAUUAGUCCCACUCUAUGUCAGCACAAGAUUAAUAUGGAACUUGAUGCUAAACCCGUUGUUGAUCACCAAUGUCGGUUAAAUCCUAAUUUGAAAGAAGUGGUAAGAACGGAAAUAUUGAAACUUCUGGAAGCAGGUAUAAUCUAUCAUAUAGCUGAUAUUAGAUGGGUAAGUCAUGUUCAUUGUGUCCCUAAGAAGGGAGGUAUUACCGUUGUUCCUAAUGAUAAGAAUGAGCUUAUUCCACAAAGAAUUGUCACAUGCUAUAUGAUGGUAAUUGAUUAUAGAAAAUUUAACAAAACAACUAGAAAAGAUCAUUACCCUCUGCCUUUUAUUAAUCAAAUGUUCGAAAGAUUAUCUAAGCACACACAUUUUUGCUUCCUUGAUGGAUAUUCUGGUUUUUCACAAAUACCUGUUUCACAACCUGAUCAAGGAAAGACCACUUUUACUUGUCCUUUUGGAACUUAUGCUUAUAGACGUAUGCAUUUUGGUUUAUGCAAUGCACCUGCUACCUUUCAAAGAUGUGUGACUGCUAUAUUCUCUGUUUUUUGUGAAAAGAUUGUUGAGGUUUUCAUGGAUUACUUUUUUGUUUAUGGAAAGUCUUUUGAUGAUUGUUUAAGCAAUCUUGAUCAAGUUUUGCAGAGAUGUGAACAAACAAAUCUUGCCUUGAAUUGGGAGAAGUGCCACUUUAUGGUUAACAAAGGUAUCGUUUUGGGCCAUAAAUUUUCUAAAAGAGGCAUUGAGGUGGACAAAGCCAAGGUUGAUGCAAUUGAGAAAAUGCCAUGUCCUAAAGAUAUCAAAGGUAUUCGUAGUUUCCUUGGUCAUGUUGGUUUCUAUAGGAGGUUUAUCAAAGACUUUUUUCUAAAAUUUCUAGGCCUCUUACAAAUCUUUUGCCAAAGGAUAUUCCUUUUGUGUUUGAUGAUGAUUGUUUGGACGCCUUCAAAACACUAAAGAAAGCCUUAAUUACUGCACCUGUUGUUCAACCACCUGAUUGGGACUUGCCUUCUGAGAUUAUGUGUGAUGCUAGUGAUUAUGUUGUUGGUGCUGUUCUAGAACAAAGAGUUGAUAAGAAAUUAAAUGUUAUCCAUUAUGCUAGUAAAACUCUUGACAGUGCUCAACGAAAUUAUGCUACCACUGAAAAAGAAUUCUUAGCAGUGGUGUUUGCUUGUGAUAAAUUUAGAUCCUACAUUGUUGAUUCUAAAGUGAUUGUUCACACUGAUCAUGCUGCUAUAAAAUAUCUUCUAGAAAAGAAAGAUGCUGAACCUAGACUCAUUAGGUGGGUUCUUUUGCUACAUGAAUUUGAUUUGCAUAUCAUUGAUAGAAAAGGAGCACAGAACCCCGUAGCUAAUAACUUGUCUAGGCUUGAAAAUAUUCUUGAUGACCCACAACCUAUUAAUGAUAGCUUUCCUCAUGAAUAGUUAGCUGCAAUGUUUCUAAUAGUACACAUUAGUACACUGACUAUGCUAAUUAUAUUGUUGCUAAAUACAUACCACCUAGCUUCACAUACCAACAAAAGAAAAAAAUCUUCUAUGAUUUAAUACAUUACUUUUGGGAUGACCCACAUCUUUAUAAAGAAGGAGUAGAUGGUAUUAUUAGACGUUGUGUACCUGAGCAUGAACAGGAACAAAUCCUACGGAAAUGUCACUCCGAGGAUGAUGGAGAACAUCAAGUGGGAGACAGAACCGCUCAUAAGGUAUUGCAAUCUGGUUUUUGUUAGCCUACUCUCUUCAAGGAUGCCCGUAAGUUCGUCUUGUCUUGUGAUGAAUGUCAAAGAAUAGGUAAUAUCGGUAAGCGUCAAGAAAUGCCUAUGAAUUAUUCACUUGCUGUUGAACCAUUUGAUGUUUGUGAAUUUGAUUUCAUGGGACCUUUUCCUUCCUCUAAUGGGUAUACUCAUAUUUAGUUGCUGUUGAUUAUGUUACUAAGUGGGUAGAAGCUAUUCCAACUAGUAGUGCUAAUCACAACACCUUUAUUGAAAUGCUUAAGGAAGUUAUUUUCCCAAGGUUUGGAGUCCCUAGAUAUGUAAUGACUGAUGGUGAUUCACACUUUAUUCAUGGUGCUUUCCGUAAAAUGCUUGCUAAGUAUGAUGUUAACCAUAGAAUUGCAUCACCUUAUCAUCCCCAGUCUAGUUGUCAAGUUAAACUUAGUAAUAGAGAAAUAAAACUAAUCUUACAAAAGACUGUCAAUAGGUCCCAGAAGAAUUGUUCUAAGAAACUAGAUGAUGCACUUUGGGCCUAUAAAACAACAUAUAAAAACCCUAUGGGUAUGUCUCCUUAUAAAAUGGUUUAUGGAAAAGCUUGUCAUUUGCCCCUUGAGUUAGAACAUAAAGCAUAUUGGGCAAUCAAAGAACUCAAUUAUGAUUUCAAACUUGCUAGUGAAAAGAGGUUAUUUGAUAUUAGCUCAUUACAUGAAUGGAGAACACAAGCUUAUGAAAAUGCAAAGUUUUUCAAAGAAAAAGUUAAAAGAUGGCAUGAUAAAAGGAUCCAAAAACGCGAGUUCAAGGUUGGAGAAUUUGUUCUUUUGUACAACUCUUGUUUUAGAUUCUUUGCAGGAAAACCCUCUCCAAAUGGGAAGGACCCUAUGUUAUCGAGGAAGUUUAUCGAUCCGGAGCUAUCAAAAUAAAUAAUGCUGAAGGUACUAACCCGAAGGUUGUUAAUGGGAAACGAAUAAAACACUAUAUCUCAGGUACUCGAUUAAUGUUGAAAGCAAUAUUAUCCAAACUAUGACACCAGAAGAACACAUAAAAGAAAGUUUCCGGAACACUCCAGAAUCGUGAAAAAAGGGAGGUACGUGAUACGAUAAGUAAACGGACUCCGAAAACUCCGCAAAAAUAUUUUUCGUCGUUUUGGAAUAUUAAAAAAAUUAGGAAAAUAAGAAAGUACCAGGAAAGUGACCCUGGUGGGCAUGAUACACCAGGGCACGCCUGGCAAGCCAGGCGCGCCCCGAUGGGUUGUGCCCACCUCGGGUACUUUCCGGACUUUGUUUUUCUUUUGUUCUACUUGUUCCCCCAAACCUGUUGACCUCCAUAUCACGGAGAAAUCUUCUGUUUUCUUUUCUUGCUGUUUUCUGUCAGAUCUAAUCCACCAUGGCCGCUUCAAGAUCCUCCAAGGACAAGUUCUUCGAGAACUUCAUUAACCCAUAUCUGCGGGAGGUGAUGCAGCACCCUCAAGCUAUCCAGAUGCGCGAUGUGGUGUUGCACAUCCGCGAUGUGCAAGGCCCAAAGGGAACUGGAUCCCUGGAGGCUAGGCUUGAAGCUAUGGAGCAGGAAGUCUUCCACUACAAGGGAAUGGUGGAACGUGGACUCAAUGCCAAUCACCUCAUGAUCGCGGACUAUACCCGUGAUCUCAAGGUGGAUGGCAAGUCCAUGAAGGACAUCAUCUUCUCCUUCAACGAGCAAAUCAACUUUCUCCAGGGCAAGAUCUACAACCUCCAAAACCAAGUCUUUGAAUAUGAGGCAAGGUUUAAAGGUAUGAGUUUGGCUGCCAGUUGCAGGACCCGAGAGACUUACUCUUCCUCUUAUGAUGGUGAGCCUCUGCCGUGGAAACCUGAGGACAAGAUCGCUUCUACUUCGUCACCACCACCUCCUUCUCAUCACCAAAAGAAAAUUGAGUAUUGGGUAUAGGUGAGGGAGUCCUGGAUUAGGGGGUAUUCGGACAGCCGGACUAUAUAAAUCGCCCGGACUAUUGAAGCGUGAAGAUACAAGACUCAAGACUUCUGCCCGUGUCCGGAUGGGACUAUCCUUUGCGUGGAAGACAAGCUUGGCGAUCCGGAUAUUAUAUUUCCUUCCUUGUAACCGACUCCAUGUAAAACCUAGCCCUCUCCGGUGUUUAUAUAAACCGGAGAGGAUGGUCCUUAGAAGGCCGAUCACAAUUACAAUCAUACCAUCAUAGGCUAGCUCUUAGGGUUUAGCCUCUACGAUCUCAUGGUUGAUCUACUCUUGUACUACUCAUAUCUUCAAUAUUAAUCAAGCAGGAAGUAGGGUUUUACCUCCAUCGAGAGGGCCCGAAGCUGGGUAAACAUUGUGUCCCUUGCUUCCUGUUACCAUCAGCCUAAGACGCACAGAUCGGGACCCCCUACCGGAGAUCCGUCGGUUUUGACAUCGACAUUGGUGCUUUCAUUGAGAGUUCCUCCGUGUCGUCACUUUGAGGCUUAAUGGCGUCUCCAAUCGUGAACGACAUGGUCCAGGGUGAGACUUUUGUCCCUGGACAGAUCUUUGUGUUCGGCGGCUUCGCACUGCGGGCUAAUUCGCUUGGCCAUCUGGAGCAGAUCGACAGGCACGCCCCUGGCCACCAGAUCUGGUUCGGAAACUUGAACUACACACUAGAUAUUCGCGGAGACUUGAUCUUCGACGGAUUCGGCCCUGUGCCAGGAGCGCUGGACAGUCACGACGAGCACGGCCUAGACCUGCUAACGGACAAUGUUCAGGACACCAUCCCUGCAGCAGCCCCAGAUCUAAAUCCGGAGCAGGUUGCAUUGCCCAAGGACGAAGGAGUGGACCCCGCCCCGCAGGCCGCACACUCAUCGGCGGUGGAGCCGAACACAGGUCUCAUCUCUAUGGAGGGCUGUAACCCUGGGCCCCCAGACUCAUAUCCAGUUGUUGGUUCCGGUCUGCACACCCUCGAGCCAGCCGGGCCAGGUCGGGCUCGGGUAAUGGAGUUUACCGCUGCAGACAUCUUUCAGCACUCGCCCUUUGGCGACAUGCUGAACUCAUUAAAGUCUCUCUCUUUGUCAGGAGGCUCCGGGCCCAACUAUGUCCGGCCUGAGUGGGAAGCAGGUGACAAAGGAAUUCGCUGCCCACCCACCACCCACUACAUUGCCAUGGUCGAUGAUUUAACCGACGUGCUUAACUUCGACUACGAAGACAUCGACGGUAUGGACGAUGAUGUGGAAGACUUAUAGGAGCCACCGCUCACAGGACGGUGGAUAGCCACCUCUUUAUACGAUAUAUAUAUGGUGGAUACUCCGAAGGAAACUAAUGGCGACGAGGCAAUGGAGGACAACCUCUUAGAGGGAAAAGCAAAGUAUGGGCGUCUUCGGCGCCAAGCCCCGCCACAUCAAUGGCGGCCCCGAAGAUGAAAGCAAUUCGGAUGGUGCCGAAGAGGAAUACAGCCCUAAUCAGCCUACCUUCAAGCAGGCCGGACAGGCCACGGUGGGAUACUUGGAGAGGGAAGACUAUAUACACCCCUCCAAAUAUGAGGUAGGCCUCGGUGUCGGUGUCAAAACCGGCGGAUCUCGGGUAGGGGGUCCCGAACCGUGUGUCUAGGCGGAUGGUAACAGGAGACAAGGGACACGAUGCUUUACCCAGGUUCGGGCCCUCUUGAUGGAGGUAAAACCCUACGUCCUGCUUGAUUGAUAUUGAUAUUGUGGAUGUUUACAAGAGUGGAUCUACCACGAGAUCAAGGAGGCUAAACCCUAGAAGCUAGCCUAUGGUAUGAUUGUUGUUGUCAUCCUACGGACUAGAGCCAUUCGGUUUAUAUAGACACCGGAGAGAGCUAGGGUUACAUAGAGUCAGUUACAAUGGUAGGAGAUCUACAUAUCUGUAUCGCCAAGCUUGCCUUCCACGCCAAGGAAAGUCCCAUCCGGACACGGGGCGAAGUCUUCAAUCUUGUAUCUUCAUAGUCUUGGAGUCUGGUCGAUGAUGAUAGUCCGGCCGAUGAUAGUUCGGCUGAUGAUGGUAGUCCGGCUAUCCAGACACCCCCUAAUCCAGGACUCCCUCAGUAGCCCCUGAACCAGGCUUCAAUGACGAUAAGUCCGGCGCGUAUAUUGCUUGGCAUUGCAAGGCGGCUUCCUCCUCCGAAUGAUAGAAGAUUGUGAACACCAGGAUAGUGUCCGGCUCUGCAAAAUAAAUUCCACAUUUCACCGUAGAGAGAAUAAUAUAUACACAAGUUCAAUCUGCUGACGUUUUUUGCGGCAUGACGUCACGCCACUACCAAGCCAUUACUUGAAUCGUUUUUUACUCUACCACCUCAGCGCAUUUAGCGAAGCGGUUUCCUUGGCACGUCUUGUCGAAGCAGAGAUUGUGUUUCCCCUUGAUCCGGGAUUCUCAUCAAUACGGACGUGGGUAACCCAACUGCGCCCGUCGCCACGCCCCCUCUAUCGAAGGCGAGUCCCAAACGUUCAUGGAGACGGCUCUUGGUAUUCUCCCUCUUUAUAACGGGACCAGGGCUCGUUUCUUUUCUUCAAUCCUCCAUCGAAUCCUCUCCCAGCUCCAAGUUCCAGCACCUAGAGCUCCAGAUUCGAGCGCUUCGGACCUUCAACGAUGUCCGGUUCCGACCUCCAGGGCCGGUGGAUGCCCUCCUCCGUCACGGAGGAGGACGUGCUAAAGCUGCGGGAGGCCAAGUACCUGGCUUAUGAGAUUUUGCACAGGUUGCCUGCCGAAGGGCAGACCAUCCCCACCCCUGAGCCCGGCGAGUAUGUUGUCUCUGUAUCCCACCUCCGUCGGGGUUUAGGCUUCCCGAUGGAUCCUUUUGUGAGAGGGGUCAUGUUUUACUAUGGGUUGGAAUUCCACGAUUUGGCUCCGGAGUCCAUCCUCCAUAUUUCCGCAUUUAUUGUCGUCUGCGAAGCCUUCCUCCGCAUCGCCCCUCACUUCGGCAUGUGGCUGAAGACCUUCAAUGUGGCGCCGAAGAUGAUCGGGGGGCGUCAAGCGGAGUGCGGCGGGGCGGCCAUAAGUAGGAGGACCGAUGCCCCGUGGCCCGCUGGCUCCUUCCAAGAGGAGCUCGGCGUGUGGCAGCAAGAGUGGUUCUAUAUUACUGUUCCGAGGGGCCGCAGACAAAAGCCGCCGCCCUUAUUCCGCCCGGGACCUCCACGAUGGUUGAUGUCGUCGGUCAACCAAGGGCUCAACUGGGGGCUGUCGAAGGACGUGCCCCUACUGCAGGGCCGAAUUUGAGAUCUCCAAACGAGGGAGGUCGAUAUGGUGGUUAUAAUGCAGGUUAUGCUGAUUAGGCGUCUCCUGCCCUGCAAACGCCGCCCUCUCCGGCUGUGGGAGUUCAAUCCGGAGGGCCCACGGAUUCUUCAACACUUCAUGGGUAUGACACCCCUGGAGAUGUACAAAUUAUUCUUCGGAUCGCAAGAGGCGCGUCCGGAAUUGACCGAGGAUGCUGGCCUAAGCUGCAAUCGCCCGGAUACUCAAGUAAGUAGUUCCAAGUCCGGACAUAACGUUUGUUUUCCUUUCGAUAAUUCGCCUUAUGACCAACUUCCUUCUAAACAGGAGUGGAUAGCGGAAGCAAAAUUGAUAUGGUGUCCGGCCCCCCUCCCCGAGACCGCGCCGGAUUCCGCGCUGGUUCGGAUGCUUGAGGUUGCGCCUCCAGAGGAAGGUGAAGGGGAGAACAGGAAGGCUACUACCUCGCCUAAGGAGGUUCUUGAGAGAGGGGGGAUCGAGAAUCCCUCCCUCCAAGGGGAGAAGAGGACUACCUCCGAGGACCCGGGGGCAAAAGCCCCUAAACAGGGGAAGAAAUCUUCGCUGGAGGGCCCUGCGUCCGGGGAGGCCCCGGCCGCACAAUCUCCCUUUGGGAAUCAGCCCUCCAACGAGCCGUAAGUAGAAAGAAAGGAGUUUUAUUAUAAGGGACAUCCCUAUUUGUGCUUCUGAGGAUAACUAAAGUUUUUACCUUGUAGUUCGGAUCUCCGUCCUUCGCAAAUGAGCUCGUCUUCGGGGGACCUUCGUCCGGAGAUGAUGGAGAGCGAGACGCCUCCGUCCGGGGCACCGUCGGAUAGGGCGGACGAGCCUGAAGUGUCGUCACGGAGGGAGCCCCCUGGUUUGGCAAAGCCGGAUAGUUCCGCGCCAACUGGUGUGCGGCUAAAGGAUCUGCUUGAGAAGGCGUCUAUCUCAGAAGAUCACCACACAUUGAUGAGCAUGGUCAUUGAAAGGAUUUCAUCCACCGAAGGCGGGUUGCAUAAUGCCGUAAGGAGUUUGCUGCCGGGGAUUGAGGUACGUAAAAAUGACACACCUUGUAACCAUUUUGCAUAUAGAAUGCGCCCUGUAUAGAUAAUAGCCCCUGAGACUCGGUAGGUUGUCGAAAUCGACAGCGUGCUGAGGAUCAAAAUUGCAGGUUUAAAUUUCCGCCGUGCCGAUGCAGGUAGCGGUCCGUCCGGGGGCCAGCCGGACUGAUGGAGUUGCUGAACUAAAGUGACAACUCGCUAUUGCGGAUGCGGACAUCACGCUGAUCAACAGGCAACUUGAUGAGUCGCAAGGUAAGUGCUUCUGUGCGGUCACUUGGUAAGGGGGCCGAAGCCAGCUGCUUAAAACAUGUGUGUGAAAUGCAGAUAGUGCCGCUGCUGUGGAGAGCCUUCGGACCGAACUUGCUCAAGCUAAGGAGCAGGCCAGAAGGAGUAAUGCGGUGGCCUCGAGGGUGGCCGAGGAGUUAGCGGCCGAAAGGGUCGCACACUGCCGAAGCAGGGAAGAGAUGGCCGAAAUGGCCGUGAAGUUAAAAGAUGCUACCUAUCGCAAUGAUGCUCUUGGGAAGGAGCGCCUAGCAGGGCAAGAAGACCUGGAGAAGGCCACCGCCGAAGCCAAGGAUGCCCGCUCUGCAAUGUGGGCUAUAAAGGAAGAGCUGCGCCAGGCUGGAGAAAUUGUAGCUGGCAAGCCUUUCCUGCUGCGCCGAAGGUUUACGGAUCCAAAGUAUGCUCAGCUGGGCCAACUGUGGGGUCCAGAGGACCCUUACAUGGACUUAGCAGCGAGUGCGGCGGAUGCCAUUGUGCAUUUUCGAAGCCAGAGGGAUCACGAGACGGAAGAGCUGUUUUGGUCUCAAUUCCAUAGUCCGGAGCGUUCACUUCCGCUGACCGACCGUUUGGCCGAGUGGGCUGAGCUGAAUAGGUUGUCCGGGCUUGCUAUGACGGAUAUAGUGACCCAUGUCUGGCCGGAUAAGCCCAAGCCGAAGAGUUACUUUGGCUUAUUGCAGCAAUUUCUUGGGGCGGUGCCGCAUAUCAAGGCGAUGAAGCAGUCGGCCUGCAUAGAGGGUGCGCGGAUGGCACUUGCCCGUGUGAAGACACAUUGGACAAAGAUGGAUGCCACCGCUGUUGCGACCCCGGGUUCGGACGAUAGCCGGUUACCCGCCGAGCAAUAUUUUGGCGAAGUGCUGCGUGGUGCUCGUGUAAUAGAGUCGCAGUGCUCUAAAAAUGUUACGUUCGAAUGAAUGUUUUUACGAUGUAAAACAAUAUUUAUGAUGUAAGUGCCUUUUAUACUUGUGCAUUCAAGUAAUAGAAUAUCCCUAUGCGGCCGUUCAUGUAUACAUGUGUAUAACCUGAAAGAUGGCAGUCGUCGGCUUCAGCCCCCACGCACAAGGUGCGGGGGUGUUCGCAAAAAAUACCGCGUUUUCACACUUAAUCCGACAUAUCGGUCCUGUAAAGGAGGUGGUAGCGUAGAAAACGAGGCAACCGGACUAUAAUGCUUUAUCACUUUCACUAAGCCAUGGAGUUCAAGGGUGGGGCUACGACAUAGCCCCUGGGGGCACCGCGCUCUCCGAAUUUGGGGCGCGUAUGUGCCUGACUGGGAAAUGGCCCUUCGUCAAAGCGGAGGAAUUCUAAACAUUCCCAUGGUCGAUCGAGUGGUUGACCAGUCUCUCGCUGUAUCAUGACAGUCAGUUUUCGGCUUUCUCUACUGAGGUGCUCGCCCAGCCGAACUGGGGCACAAUCGCAGUAGUUCUCCUGGUGCCGCGUUAGCCGGUGAUACGGAACGUAAGGCAGCAAAACACAAGAGCCGGGCAAACCCAACAUUUGACCAAAGACAUGAUUCAGAGCUGAUGCAUAUAAGGCCUAAAUCGAGACGCCGAACACUCCCGAAGGUGUUCGGUCUUUAUAAUAGCGGGCAAAACAAUGCCCUAAGCCCCUUGUGUCCAGGUACGGGCAAGUUCUUCUGGUGCGGCCGAUGCCAAAACGCCAGUCUCCACUCUGGUUAUAAUGAGAAACCAGGGAAAUAUAGCAACAAGAGAUAGUAAGAAAGGUUUACGUAGGGUCUUAGUCUGAAAAGAGUCCUUGCAACAGGUCCCUACUGCACGUCUGCGCCUGUGUCUCCGUUGUGCCGUAUCCUGGACGGGUGUGCACGCUGUUCAUCUGUAAAAAAGAGAGGAACUUAGUUUGAAAAGAAAUCAUGUGAGAAAGUGCAUAAAAAAUUGAAAUAUAGUUUAAUACAGCUGAGGUUAUGCUAGCUCAUCAUUGCUUAUCUGUACAAACCCUUGUGAAGGGGUGUGUGGCUAGGUAGCCCCUAGCUUAUUUAUUCCGGACUCGUCCAGUCGUGUACGAGGUCUCAGGCGACCUUUUAAUGAAAUGAUGCCACGUGGACCGGGCAUUUUGAGCGUAAGAGACGCGUAAUGUGAUAUUGCAUUGAAGCGAACGAAAGCUUCCCGUCCCAGUGAUGCUUGAUAGCUACUUUUAAGUGGGGCGACAUGAAAGGUUAGCUUUUCUUGUCGGAAGUUGUCAGGUGACCCGAACACAACUUCUAGUAAUAAUGAAAUUUUGCACCUGGCAUAAGGGCCUGGCGCUACUCCAUUGAAGGAAGCGCGGCUAUGCCGAAUUGUUGUAGGGUCUAUCCCAAUUAGCGGAUUGUGUCCGGAUAUAGCAGGUUUAAGUCACUGCCGCCGUCCAUUGGAACCUGCGUGAAUUGCAGCCCGUCUAUUAUGGGGUCCAGUAUCAGGGCAGUCUAUCCUACGUUCCGGAUACUUCUGGACUAAUCCAGAUGGUCGAAAGUGAUUGGUUUUGACAUCCAAUCUCGGUGUUCCACUGGGGUGGAUCUUGUGACACUUGUCUAAGCGAGUGCCGUGUUGGUUUUCCGUACUAUCACAUGAAGUGAGUUUACUGUUUUGACUUCUUGUGGGAAAGUCUUUUGGCUUCCGGUCUUGAGUACUUUGCUCCACUUCAUUCUGAGUAUGUCUUCCGCUGUUUUGAGCUUCCAUUUUUCCUUCUUCAAACUUCUUACAGGGGCGACGAGUCUUUUGUGUAGGUUCUUAUGCUCCGGUGUUGUGUCCGGACUAUUAACUGCUCCGUGAAGGGGUUGAUUACCCGGCUCGUCCUGUUCGUCGUCCGCUGGUUUGCCCUGCUCUAUUGCUGGGUCGUUAGGAAUGCUGCUUUGAUCGAGGCGGGACUUAGGGCGGCGUCUACGUCGCUGUUUUGAUUGUUUAUCGGCAGGAUUAUCUUCUGCCACGUCCCAUUGUUCCUCGGUAUUGCUUCCCUUUGGGGUGUCCACCAUAUGUAUGUCGUAUGAUGAGGUGCUCUUCCAGUGUCCUAUAGGCACUGGUUCUUGAUAGUCUCCGGAAUCGUCGUCCAUACCGUCGAUGUCGUCGGAGUCGUAGUCGAGUGCGUCGGUUAGAUCGUCGACGAUGGCUACGAAGUGGGUGGUGGGUGGGUUCUGAAUUUCUUCGUCGUCCGCGUCCCAACCGUCCUGGCCGUAGUUCGGCCAGGGUUCUCCGGAUAGCGAGAGAUGCCUCAGCGAAUUUAAGAUAUCGCCGAAGGGUGAGUGCUGAAAGAUGUUCGCAGCGGUGAAUUCCAUGAUCGGCGCCCAAUCAGAUUCGACUGGCGGGGGCGCAGGAGGUUCGUUGUCCGGUAGGGAGUCCGGCACCUCGGAGUCAUGAGCUUUAUGCGGGACAAGGUAAGUGUUUGGCUCCAUCGCUGUAGAAGUCGUAGCUCCCGAGGCGGUGUCCAGCUAUCCAUCCUCGAUAUGAGCGAUCGGCUCCGGACUAUGGGUCGGAGCGGAUUCAUGUGCGGCCUCCAAGGUGCUGUCCGGCGGCAGAGUUAGGUCAUGCCCAUCAUGACAGCACGGCACGCUUGGCUGUGGCUCGGAUCCGUCGAAGAUCAAGUCCCCGCGGAUAUCGGCCGUGAAGUUUAGGCUCCCAAACCUGACCUGACGGCCAGGGGCGUAGCUUUCGAUCUGCUCCAGAUGGCCAAGUGAGUUUGCCCGCAGUACGAAGCCGCCGAAUACGAAGAUCUGUCUGGGGAAAAAAGUCUCACCCAGGACUGCGUCAUUGUAGAUUGAAGAGGCCAUCAAGCCUAUCGGUGACGACACAGAGGAACUCUCAAUGAAAGCACCAAUGUCGGUGUCAAAACCGGCGGAUCUCGGGUAGGGGGUCCCGAACUGUGCGUCCAGGAGGAUGGUAAUAGGAGACAAGGGACACGAUGUUUUACCCAGGUUCGGGCCCUCUUGAUGGAGGUAAAACCCUACGUCCUGCUUGAUUGAUAUUGAUAUUGUGGAUGUUUACAAGAGUGGAUCCACCACGAGAUCAAGGAGGCUAAACCCUAGAAGCUAGCCUAUGGUAUGAUUGUUGUUGUCGUCCUAUGGACUAGAGCCAUCCGGUUUAUAUAGACACCGGAGAGGGGUGGGGUUACAUAGAGUCGGUUACAAUGGUAGGAGAUCUACAUAUCCGUAUCGCCAAGCUUGCCUUCCACGCCAAGGAAAGUCCCAUCCGGACACGGGGCGAAGUCUUCAAUCUUGUAUCUUCAUAGUCUUGGAGUCCGGUCGAUGAUGAUAGUCCGGCCGAUGAUAGUUCGACUGAUGAUGGUAGUCCGGCUAUCCGGACACCCCCUAAUCCAGGACUCCCUCACUCGGCAAUGACGAAUUUAGCGUGCCUGAAGAUCCAGUGGAACAAAUUUUCUUCAAGCGACGACUCAUGGCCACGGCAAGGAGCCUGAAAAGGAAGCAAGAGCAGCUUAAAAUCAACCAGGAUUUGCUAAUGUUUAGGUGGACCAAGAUCUUGGCCACCGAAAAGUACGGACUCGACCGCCCUAACAAAGGGCAUACGCGGCACAACGGGCUACCUCAACCUAAGUAGGUGAUCCAAAGGCACACAACCCGACGUCCGUACACCACUACAGUCCAAGACAGCAAGAAGGAUACACAAAGAGGCAUCCUCAAGCCUCGGUGCAACGGCCAGAAACGUCAAGUCAGGGAAGCUUGUGCCAAGUUCAGCAACUCGCAGUCCGGUCAACGGACAAAAAACAACUCAAGCUUAUUCGUACUGAGCCACAAACUCGAUCAACCGUGCAAAACAUACCAAUAGAGAAUGCCGGAUCUUCAAAACAAAGCGACCAGUCGUGUGCCAGAAACAAUGAAGGGAGGCAUCUAGUCAAGAGACCCCCCAGGGCACAAAAGUAUGGUCGAUCAUCCCCUGUCGUACAAACCACGGCCACUCAAUUGUCGUACCCCUAGACCUAGUAGUCCAUGGGCUCCAUAACACGUCAAGCCCCCGCGGGUAUAAAUCUAUAAAUAAACGCCUUCUAUAAGGUGUCCGGUGCAAAAGCCAAGUUCAUUGGCCCACCGCUCUAACGGUUGUUCUCAGAUAAUCAAAAAAUGCCACGCCAUCGGCGCACUCUCCUCAUACGGUAACCCACCGUAUGCUAACGGGAUGAACUACGUUGACUAGAUUCAACAUGGUAAAACAUUAGGCCAACGCCGGUGAUAUACUCACACCUACAUACAAGGCCGAAACCCCGCCCUUAGAGCGGAAAUGAUACAGCUACCGGAGUAGCAAGUCGUGCAUGCCUAUCAAUAUUUUGAUAUGACAACCACCUAUCCGGACACCCACGGAGGAGUCCGGGAUACUUCCCGGUAUAGCGGCUUGGGUCACCAAAAUCCGAUCAGGAACCUUUAGACCAACCAUGGGAGGACGCUCAGCUGCCUCCGGGCAUUUACCUUCACAAACUAACUUUUAUGCAGAACGGGAUUGGCGGCGUGGAAUCGGCCCAGGACAGGACCAUGUAGGUAGAAGGCAGUUCGGAUUCACUUUCGAUCCAUUCACAGCCCCCUCCAGUCCGACCAUCACAUGUUCCGCCAAAAAACCAUUCCUUUUUCAUAAUCAUAAAUCGCACUCAUAUGCAUAGACAUAUCAUCCUACUGCAAUGCGUAGACUUAAAUAACAUGUACCGACCAUCGUUUAUCAUCGACGCCUCUUUGCCACAAAAUAGCAGCCACGCUUCAUGUUAUGCCCGGUUAUGCCAGGGGCUUCACAGCACGCCACUAAAGUCCGACCACCUUUUCGGCCGCUCGGCACCCCGAACUUAUAGCACUAUAUGCAUCAGCGCCGAAUCAUGUCUUGGGUCAUUGGUUGGGUUUGCCCGGCUCCCAUGUUUUGGUACCUUAUGUUCCGUUCCAUCGGCUAAGGUAGCGCUGGGAGAACUAAUGCGAUUGUGUCCCGGUUCUACCGGACGAGCACCUCAGUAGAGAAAGCCGAAAACCGAUUGUCAUGAUGCAGCGAGAGCUGGUCAGCUGUUCGAGAGGUUGUAAAAUCCUUAAAGAUUUAUUCCGCAUAACGCCACUAUAAAAUGCAGAUUGCGACGGAUUGGUCUUCCGAUCAGGCACCGAUAGAGCUCCUAGUUCGGCCUUCCGAACACUUGGGGCUGCGCCGACCAUACUCGAAUUCCUAUGGUUCAGUGAGAGUAGUAAAGCCAUAUAUAGUCCGAUUGCCUAGUUCGUGGUGGGAAACACCUCCUUAAAAGGACCCAACCAUGUGAUAAAGAUUGUUCAGAAAUACCCUGAACACCCCCGUACUUCUCACGUGGGGGCUGAAGCCGAUGACUGGUCAACUCUCAGAAUUUACAUACAAUAAACAGCCGCGCAAGAAGAAUAUAUGUUCACACGAAAUAGGCAAUACAUAAUAAAAGUGCCAUUAUCCCACAUUACAAAUAUUGGAAAGAAUGCCGUCAGGGAAAUAUAAUGUCUUUGGUGCACUUAUCCGCCGCCAGGCGGGCCCCCUUUAGUACACCUUCAUAGUAUAGUUUGGGCUUGCGAUGCUCCUUACCCUCUGGUGGCCCCUCAGUUAUCAGCUUCUCCACAUCAAGCUUCCCCCAAUGCAUUUUCGCAUGGGCAAGCGCCAUGCGCGCACCUUCUAUACAGACUGAUCGCUUGAUAUAAUCAAGCCGAGGACAGGCGCCCACAAUCCGCUUCACAAGUCUGAAGUAACUGCUUGGAAUUGGCUCUGCAGGCCACAGUCAGAUAACCAAGUCCUUCAUGGCUAGUUUGGCCGCCUGGUGCAGUUCGACCAGCUGCUUCAGCUGAUCGAUAAAAGGCACCGGAUAGUUCAGCGCCAAAUACUAUGACCAAAAGUUCUUCCCGGUAGACUCCCUCUCCUCGGUCUGGUAAAAUUGGGCAGCAUCUAAUAUGCUAUCAGGCAGAUCUGCAAACGCCCCUGUAAAAUCAAGAAUUCAGCUUGCCGCUUAGAGUUCUCCACACUAUAACAUAAUAAUGGCCAUAGAUACAAUAGGCCUUACCAGCCGCAACUUUUCGGGCCUCCUGAAUGUCCCGUACAGCACCUCGGGCUUCUUCCUGAGCAUCUUCUGCGCCUUGGAGAGCUUGGGCAAGUUCGGAUUCUUUCCCUACUAGACUUUGCUCCAAGCUCUCGCUUUUUGUCACAGCCUCCUGGAGCUCCCGCUCAGCUGUGACGACCCCGGCCUCGUGUUUUUCACGAAGCGCCUGUUCGGCUGCAGCCCUCUCAUGGGCAUUAGCCACUGCCUUCUUCAGCUCCUCAUAUUCGGCACUCGCUCCUAGGGCGUAUAACAUAAAAACUUUUCAAUAGGCACAAUUACUCAUUCGUGCCUAAAGCAAGACAAUGUUUAAACAUACCUUGCUUCUCCUCUAAUUGCUUCCUCACACGGCCGUGUUCUUCCUCGGCCCGUGCCAGGCUCUGCUUUAGUACGGACACUUCCGCCUGAUAUGCGGCCGUCUUCUCCGCAGACGCCUGUUUUGAAACAAAGAGGUACUCGUCAUUAAUAAGGGUUCACACGAAAAGAGGAGUUGAUCCCCUGCCCGGCUCUCUAUCUUUCGCCGGACAGUGUAUCAGGGGCUACUACUCAUAUUAUGAUGAUUCCUCAAAGUUUCCUUACAAACCAUACCUCAAAAGCCUGUAUAAGGCCAAGCCAGGACUCAUUCAGCCUACUUUCGGCAGACUGAAUCUUUCCAACCACUGCACCCAUAAGGGUCCGAUGUUCAUCGACGAUAGACGCGUUCUUCAACGCUGUCGAUAGACCGCCCGACAGCUCGGCAUAGACAGCGGUUGCCGGCGGAGUAGGCAAACCUCCCUCCUUGAAGGGUGGUCGCUCGCCCGAUCCUGGAGCCUUAGUAUUCUCCAGGACCUUAUCCGGCUCGGGCUCUCCUCGAGACGACACCUCGGUGUCGCUCCUGGACUCCGGAAAAAGAGCCUCCGGAGGCGUCUCGCUCGCCACAUCAUCCGAACUCAACGAAUCCUUCGAUGAUGACUGUCCGACAGGAGAUCUCGCCGGGGUGUACGAGAUAUGGCGACAGUUAAAACUACUAUACUCAGAUGACCCUGAAUGCAUAGGCGCAUUAGGGAUUUGGUUACUUAUGAUUUUUCCCGGGGCUGGGCCCUGGGAUCCCACUCCGGGCUGCUGUAGGCAGCCGGGGUGGGUGCCUCUGGAUGGGAACCUCUCCCCCUCUUGGGCGAUUCAGCCUCCAGGGACGGGGAAGCCGCGUGUUUCUUCCCACCUACAAAGUAAGGCUCACCCUCCUCUGCUUCCUCCUCUUUGUCUUCGGAAGAAGGAGCGCCGCUGGUGUCUUCGGAUUUAGCGUCCGAAGUCUCGCGGCGACGAAGGCAACUCCGGGUCUUCUUGACCUUCUUGGAGUCCUCCUUCUUUGGCGCCUCGUAAGGCGUGGGGACCAGCAUCUUCGUUAGAAGAGGUCCGGCCGGUUCCUCCGGCAGUGGGGCCGGGCAAUGCAUCUGCUCCACCUUCUUAAUCCAUCCCUGGGGUCACGAUGAAACACGAUUAAAAUGUCUCCCUCAUGACAUGCCAACUUAAGCAUGGAUAGAUAGACCGUGACUGUAACUUACUGGGCUUGGAGAAUGGAAUAAUUGAUACCCCCGAUCCUCAACAGAGUCCGUCCAUGAUUUGCCGGACUUAAAGAGCACCUUCCAGAUAUCCUUGUGGGAGGAGUCAUAGAGCUCCUGAAGGGUCUGGUGCUCGGUUGGGUCGAACUCCCACAAAGUGCAGGCUCGACACUGACAAGGUAGAACCAGGUGAACUAGCAUCACCUGGACUACGUCGACGAGUUUGACGUCCUUGUCAACUGCGCUCCGAAUGCGUGUCUGGAGCAGUGAUAGCUCAUCGGACGAGGACCAGUUCGGGCCCUUCUUGGGCCAGGACUUGAGCCGCAGUGGAGCUCCGGAUCUGAACUCAGGAGCUGCAGCCCUCUUUUUGCCGCGUGGUUCGGUGAUAUAAAACCACUGCUGUUGCAACUCCUUGACGGAGUCGUUGAAAGUGCCCUUCGGCCAAACGACCUUGGGUCUCUUGCUCACCAUGGCACCGCUGCACUCGGCGUGUUCGCCACUUACCACCUUGGGCUUCACAUUGAAAAUCUUUAGCCACAGGCCGAAGUGAGGCGGAAUCCAGAGAAAGGCCUCGCACACGACGAUGAAUGCGAGAUAUUGAGAAAAGAGUUGGGGGAAAGAUCAUGAAAAUCAAUCCCAUAUUAAUACAUAACUCCACGGACAAAUGGGUGGAGGGGAAACCGGAGCCCGCUGACAAAAUGGGGAAGGAACACGACUCUCUCGUGAGGCUUCGAGUAGGGACGACCUGUCCCGCCGGUGGGAGACGGUGGCCAAUCUUCUUGGCCAGAUACUCGGCUUCUCGGAGCUUCUUGAUAUCUUUCUCUUGGACAGUAGAGGCCAUCCAUAUGCCUCCUGCUCCGGAUUCGGACAUCUUUGGAAAACUUCUCUUCGAUGGAAAAGAAGAAGGCUUGGGUGUUAGGGCUCGAGCAGAGGGGAACGAGUUAGCAGAAGCAGAAGGCGCGUGUAAAGAGGAAGGGACCUUAUCUCUUUAUAAGGGAUGGUAAAAGCUUUUUGCGCCUCCCCACUUGCCUUGUGGAACCCGCUCACCUCCCACUCGCCGUGAUUAGUGGUGUGGUUGGAUAACCCAUACCCGUAUUGAUGAGAAUCCCGUGAUGAGGGGACAUGAUCUCUGCAUUGACAAGAUGUGUCAAGGAAAUCACCCCGCAAGACGCGCUGUGGCUGGUUGUGGGAAAAACAGUUCGAAUAAUGACCCGGCUGUAAUGGCAUAUCACGUCGUCUAAAAGUCGUCAACUGAAGUAUCAUUCUCUCUAUGGUGGUAUGUGAAGAUCAUUUUGCAGAUCCAGACACGGUCUACGUGUUCGACAAUAACCUUGGAGUAUUCGGAGGGAGGAACCCGCCUUGCAAUGCCGAAGACAAGACUGCGCAUCGGACUCAUCGUCAUUGAAGCCUGGUUCAGGGGCUACUGAGGGAGUCCUGGAUUAGGGGGUAUCCGGACAGCCAGACUAUAUACAUCAUCCGGACUAUUGAAGUGUUAAGAUACAAGACUCAAGACUUCGGCCCGUGUCCGGAUGGGACUCUCCUUUGCGUGGAAGACAAGCUUGGCGAUCCGGAUAUUAUAUUUCAUUCCUUGUAACCAACUCUAUGUAAACCCUAGCCCUCUCCGAUGUCUAUAUAAACCGGAGAGGAUGGUCCUUAGAAGGCCGAUCACAAUUACAAUCAUACCAUCAUAGGCUAGCUCUUAGGGUUUAGCCUCUACGAUCUCGUGGUAGAUCUACUCUUUUACUACUCAUAUCUUCAAUAUUAAUCAAGCAGGAAGUAGGGUUUUACCUCCAUCGAGAGGGCCCGAACCUGGGUAAACAUUAUGUCCCUUGCUUCCUGUUACCAUCAGCCUAAGACGCACAGAUCGGUACCCCCUACCCGAGAUCCGCCGGUUUUGACACCGACAAUAGGCACUCCCCUUGUAUUUUGCCAAGCUUGGGGGAGGUGCCCCGGUAUCAUAUCAUCUCCACUAUCUUUUGCCUUUACUUUUCUUAGUUCGAUCCAUAGUUAUCUUUUGCUUUAGACACUACAAAAGAAAGACACAUCCGUGACAUUUCGGGCCAAACGAAUGUUUUUCUGUCAUACUUAUGACACUUCUAUGACGAUAAUUGUGACAAAACCCGGUAUCAUCAUAGAUGUGGUGGGCUCCUACUUCUGUGAAAAAAAUCAUGACAAAAAAUGGGAUUUUCGUCCUGGGUGGGCCGGAGAAGCAGUUGCAUGACAUUCUUUGGGCCGUCCAUGACGGAAAAAAAA